rnacentral:lncRNA from 1 species
AAAAAAUAACUCAAAUGCGGAAAUAAAAGAGUAAGGAAGAAAUGCACCAAAUUUAUACUAGUUGGCCACAAAUGUGGUUACGUCCAGUCUCCCGAGAUACAAUCUCGAGGUUCAACUAAUCCUGUUAAGCUUCCGGGUGCUCAACAAACCGUUAAAACUUGAGAACUUGAAUCACACAAGCCUCAACAACCUUGCUCGAAGAUACCGCACUUCAAGACUUCAACAGAAGGAAUAAAUACUUCCUUCUAACGACAACAAGGGAUUAUAAACUUCCCUUCAAGUGUAUACAAAACACUUACACUCACUUUAACAGAACUCUCUUGAAGAGUAUAUAUGAGUAAAAACGUACGCUCAAGAACACAACAAUUAAUUCAGAGAAUUGGCUUUCAAAAGCUAUUAAAUAUGCUAAAAUAAAUAUUGAGAGUGUUUGAAAGCUUGUAGAUGUUUAUAUCAGAUGUUGUGUAUCAAAUGAGAGUUUUUGGGGUGUAUUUAUAGCCCCAAAAGCUCUCCUAUCCGUUGCUAAUUGACUAAACAAUGUUUCUGAAAACAGCUAGGUUAUUCGAAUAACUUAUAGGUUAUUCGACUAACUAGUUCAAAUAUUUAAAAAACUAGCCGUUGGGCUGGCAACGAACAAAAGGUUAUUCGAAUAACUUAUAGGUUAUUCGACUAACCUGGGCAAUGGUCUUCAGGUUAUUCGAAUAACUUAUAGGUUAUUCGAAUAACUGACCCUGCGGAAAUGGCCCAGAUUUAUUCAAUAAAAAUAAGUUAUAAAACGUUUUUCAUUGAUUUGUUUGAAGACUAAAAUUAUAGUUUUUGUCUUAAACAUGAAAAACAAUUUUAAGAACCUUUUCGGUUUAAUAGAAUCAUUUAAAAUCAAUUUAUUUUAAAUACAAUAAAAAUAUUUAUGAUAUGUAUAUUUUUAUGAAAAUUAUAUUUGAGAGAAACCAAGACUUGAAUUUAAGGUUGGAUCAAGAUCACAAUAUAAAUAAUCACAAUAUAAAUAAGACUCAACCAAUGUCUUCAUUUAUUUUCAUUGCUUCAUUUAUCCUCAUUGCUUCUCUUGAUCUUGUCUUGAACUUCUUGGACUUCAAAUUUAGUCCGCUAUAUAAUUUCGCAUAUCAUAUCUACAAAACAAACACACUUUAGAUAAAAUAUAACUUAAAGUGUAUUUCAAUAAUAACUCAUAAUUAUUUGGCAUAUAUUUAUUUUCCAUCUAGUUCGGUUUGUCAAUUAUCAAAAUAUAUAAAUAUGAACAUAAAUAUAUGUUCCAACAGGCGACACCUCUAUGAUUAUCGUUGAAAGAAAAGCAAUAGAAUAUGACUCUAUAUUUGACCUGAUAGAAAAAUCUGAUGAGGAUAAAGAUGAUGAUGACGACGAGGUAAACUUUCUAGGUGUUCCAAGAAAUUUAAAGUAUUACUCUAAAAAAAAAGAAACAUGUGUCAUUAGAAAAUUUCUUGAUUGGUGCCUACUAUAAUCUUACUAAUGAUAAGAAUACAUUAAUUGAGGAAAUAGGAGAGGUAGAGAAUGAGAGAGACAAUUUACUUGUAGUUUUUUAUUUGAAAGAAACCAUAGUGGAAUUUAAGAAAGUAAAAGAUAUUUUAGCUAAGAAAAUUGAAUAGAUAGAAAACGAGAGAGAUGAUGGGUUGGUGGUAGUUGUGGAUCUAAAUGAGACAAUAGAGGGGUUAAAAAGCGACAAUAAUUAUGUGAAAGCCUCAAUAGAGAAUUGCGUGAACCCCUCGAAAGGAUAGGAAAUGGCAAGUAAGGCACACUUUAGGAUUGAAAAAGAACUCAAAAAGACAAAAUUGAGUCUUUAUGCUGAACUUGAGAAAAAUAAACAACGUUAGGAAGAUCUAUUCAGGGUUAAAAAUUACCUAUAUAAAUAUCUAACUCGGACCUAGUCCUCUGACACAAUCACUUUCAUGUAUUAAAUUAGUGGGGAAGGGAGGAGGGGUGGGGGAUGGGGAUAGGGGAACAUGCAGGGAAUUGGGUUCCAAUUAGAAAAGGCCCCUGAAAACUCACAUAGCAAGUAUCGUAACUGAUAACUGGCUUUGCACUCAUUAUGGUAACACUAAUCAAUUUAAAAUUUCCUAUAAAAGCAAUGUUUCCGUCGCAACAGAAAAUAAACUUUUUUGUUAAAAAAUUAUUUGCUACUAUGGAAUCUGGUUCUAUCAAAAAGAAAUGUGUUACGCCUUAUUGGACAAAAAAGAAGUUCAAUCCGCCCCUUUCCUCAUUAAGAGUAACCCUAAUUCCCUUGUGCAGGCAACGGUGAAAGGAAGCAGCCAAAGGUGGUACACGGAUAGUGGUUUCUCUAAGCACAUGACUCGGAGUAAUGAAUAUUUCCUUUAACUCAAGGCCCUGGAAGGUGGGAGUUCAUCCUUUGGAAACGUGAAAAAGGGAUACAUUGUGGGAGUUGGAAAAUUUUUGAUGACACUGGGAAGACAAAGUGUGUGAUUCAUGUGUAAAUGAUAUGUAAGUCAGGACCUCAUUUAAGCCUAAGAAGGAUGUAAGCACCUCAAGGCCACUGGAUCUUCUUCAUAUGGAUCUGUGUGCACCUAUGUGGAUGCCACGGAGACGAGGAAAGAAGUACAUUUUUUUCAUUGUUGAUGACUAUUCUAGAUUCACAUGGAGCGUGUUCCUCAGAACCAAGGGCGAAACCUUUCCAUUCUUUGUUGCCUUUGUGAAGCAUAUUCGAGUGAAGAUGAGCCACAAUGUUGUAAGCAUAAGAUUUGAUCAUGGUACCGAGUUUGACAACUCAAAAUUUGAUGAAUUUUGUGUAGAAAAUGGUGGAAGUCAUAAUUUUUUAGCUCCCAACACACCCCAAAAAAAUGGUCUUGUGGAGAGGAAAAAUAGAACUUUAGAAAACAUGACAAGGACGAUGUUGAUCGACACUGGUGUACUAAAGAGUUUUUGGGCUGGGGCUGUAAACACUGCUCGUUAUCUGAUAAACAGGUGCAUGAUCAGGUACCUCCUAAAUAAGACCCCUUAUGAAUUGCUAAAUGGGAGAAAACAAAAGCGAACUUACCUAAGAACAUUAGGUUGUAAGUGUUUUGUCCUCAAUAAUGGGAAGGAAUCAUUAGGAAAGUUUGAUCCUUAGAGUGAUGAAGGCAUUUUUCUUGGAUACUGAUAUGUGGUCUACAACAAAAGAACUUCAUAUGUUGAAGAAAGCAUAUAUGUAAUAUUUGAUGAAUCUACCACCCAAGUAUAAAGGAUUCACAUGAUAAGAAUGAUCAAGAUUGAGAGUAUGAAACGGUUUGUGGAGAAGUCAUUGAUAUGGAAAAUGGAAAGGAAUAUCUCAUUAGUCAACUCAAGGAAUCCAAUGAAGAAGAUUCAUUAGAAUCUCCAGAUCAUUCAGAGGCAUCUCGUCCGUCAAUCAUAACAACUGUAACGGAAAAUAGAGUUGCUGAUGUUGUGCAAGGUACCCCUGAUGCAGAGCAAAGAAGUGGUACUUUCACUUUAAUGGAUGCAAAUAAUAGGUCUCACACGUCAGAACAUGUUUCUUCUCAUCCUGGGACUCAAGUGUUUAACUGGAAGCAAAACUACUCACAUCCUCUCUAGAAUGUAAUCACUCCUUUACAUUGUAGAAUUUUGACUAGAUCAAGGAAAAGAAACAUGUUUCCUUUCUCGACUUUUCUGUCUCAAAUUAAGCCAAAAAUAUCAAGGAAGCAUAGAAAGAUGCUGACUAUAUUGUUGCUAUGCAAUAAGAGCUCCAUCAAUUUGAGAGGAACAAUGUGUGGCACCUGGUUCCGCAUCCUUCUGAUAGAACCGUAAUUGGAACCAUAUGGGUGUUAAAAAACCAGCAUGAUGAGUGGACAUACAAGAAAUAAAUUCAGGUUAGUUGUUCAAGUCUAUAGUCAAGAGGAAAUAAUAUAUGAUGAUGAACCCUUCGCUCCAGUUGCAAGGGUGGAAACUAUCUCUAUUCUUAUUGCAUAUGCAUCUGAUAUAGAACUCAAGAUAUUCCAAAUGGAUACCAAGAUUGCAUUUCUAAAUGGAUAUGUGAAGGAAGAAGUCUUUGUCAAACAACCUCAUGGUUUUGAAUUUCAUGAACAUCCCGAACAUGUUUUUUAGCUUGACAAAGCCUUAUAUGGAUUAAAACAGGCCCGUUGGGCAUGGUAUGAAAGAUUGUCAAGGUUCCUUUCGGAAAAUGGUUUCACUAGAGGGAAUAUUUGCAAUACUUUUUGUCUGAAAAAACAAUGAAGGAACCUGCUAAUUGUGCAUGUCUGUGUUGACGACAUCAUCUUCAGUGCAACAAAUGAUUCCUUGUGUGAGGAGUUUGGCAUGAUUAUUGGAACGAUUUUGUGAUGAGCACAGUUAUAAGUCAGCAGAAAUCUAUCAAGGAGCUUUUGAAGAGGUUGGGGAUGGAAAUUUCUAGGACUAUUGAUACUCCUAUUGCCAUAGUCACUUGUCUAGACAUGAACGACCCGAGUUCCCCUGUAAAUGAAACCAAGUAACGGGGUAUCAUUAGUUUGCUUCUAUAUCUAACUGUUAGCAUACCUAAAAUUGUGCUUAAUGUGGAUUUAUUUGCUAGCUUCGAAUCAAGUCCAACAGAAUCUCAAUCGAAAGCUACUAAAAGCAUAUUAAGAUAUCUCAAAGGAAUGGACCUACUCUUCUAUUAUCCCUCAGGAGAUAAUUUUGACUUAAUUGGGUAUGGUGAUGCAGAUUAUUUCAUGGAUAGAAAGAGUACAUCUAGGAUGGCACAUUCACUAGGGUCAUGCUUAAUUUCUUGGGGGUACAAAUAAAUAAAACUUUGUAGCCCUUUCUACUACAGAAGCUGAAUAUGUGGUAGCUGCUUCUUUUUGUGCCCAACUGUUGUGGAUCAAUAAACAACUAGAAGAUUUUUGUGUGUUAUCUGACUAUGUGCACCUACAGUGUGACAACACAAGUGCCCUAAACAUGGAAAACAACCCGUUUUAGCAUAAAAGGACAAAACACAUUGAUAUAAUAAAUCAUUUCAUCGGGACAAUGUUGGAAAGGUUCUCACUUGUAUGUAGUUUUUCAAACUAGAGGACCAGGUAGCAGAUAUCUUCACCAAAGCAUUGAGCAUAAAGCAUGAUGAAAAGAAUCAACCGAUGCUGGGAUUAAUCAAGUAGAAGUAAGAACCUGGUCCCACAAGGAUUAGCUAUGAAGGAAUGGUAAAGAGAAUUGCUAAAAUAAGUAUUUUCUAGCAAUGUCAAACUCAAAUUUAUACUGCUACAGAUAAACAUGCAUGGAGAUUAAAGGGCAUAAAUAAAGCUGAUGACAUUGCAAUUUGACAAAAGGAUGAGGCUCAUAUUUAUAAAAAUCAGUUAGGAAACCUCGUUCCUUUCACUCAUGUCAGUAGUUCCUUUUAUACUCAUACACCUUUUAAAGUGGUAAAAGUGCCGCAUCACUAAAAUGUGUCUGCCCUUCUCGCCACCUCUUUUUAAACCCAAACAUAACACCUGUUACAAAUCGAUCUGACCAACCAAGACCAUUGCAUCCAAUUGUAAUCGGUUCCUUCUUGCCUCUAAAUAAACUUAAAAGAAAUGUCUCUCUUUCAACUAUCUACAUCAAAGCCAUCAAUCAUUUCCUCUAUCAAAAAGCCCACUCCCUUAUAAUCGUGCCUUUUCUCGAAAAAAAUCACCAUGUUUUCCCAAAAUCCUUCAUUUCCAAAACACCAAUGUCACUCCUAUUGUCUUUUCGUCUCAUGAAGUACAUCAGCCCGAGCCUGAGUCUCAACCUUUACCCAAUAAUUAUCCCAUUUCUGACUAAAAACCACCCAUUGUUUGCUCUGCAAUCCCAUCGUGUAUUGGUUCUCACCAAAGCCAGAAAAAGCAAUCACCCAAACGGCUAGUUGCAAUAAUCUAUGCUUCUGAAAAAAUGGUAGAAGACGAAAUGAUAGAUGGAGAAGAGGGAAUAAAGGUUUUGAGUCAACAAGUCGAGGAGGUAUAUGUAGCCCAAGAAGCUAUUGCUGGUUGUGGCAAAGCAUCUGGAGUAUCUAUUGCUCCUUCUGCUCCAACUUUUAGCUUCCCCAUCUGGUAAUGCCUCUUUUGCAUCUUCCGAUUCUACAUUGUCGGAUAUAAGUGAGAAAGAAGGCAUAGAGAACAUAUUUUUUAUUGUUACUAAAUGUGGUUCAGCUUGGGAGUAUGUGUAUGGUCAUACGACUGUUGAGUUUCGGGGGAAGGAAAAAGGGGGAGUUGGCAACAAUUCUAUGAUUUCUCAUAUGAUUGAUGCUCAAACUACUGCUAAUGAGGGUAUAAGGAGGCUGAAGGCUAGGAAUGCCAUUAUUGAGGGAGAUCUCAGUUAUGCCAAAUGGGUACCUGGUUCUACCAGUACACAAGGUGCAGAGGUUGCUCUCUUGAUGGCUGAAAAUACGGACCUAAAGAAACAGGUUGAGAGCGUGACACAACAGCUGAUAAACGAGCAGUAGUCUGCAUUUAUUAAUUAAUGAGCAUCUUAGUAUUUUGCAAUACAUGUUAUACUCUUGUUCUCUAUUUUUUAGAUAUGUUGUGUGAAGUGGCAUGAGUUAACUUUUCGGGACUUCAUUUUUGCAUACAAGUGGAGAAAGGUUCUUAGGGGAGAAUAUAACUAAUCCUCAGGGAAAUCAUAUGUAGAUCUGGUUCAUAGGGGGGACUUAAAUUUUAAGUUUAUCAUCAUCAAAUAGGGGAAAUUGAUAAGUUACGUGCCCUUAUGUUUUGAGGAUUUAACAAACUUCAUGUGAGAACCAAAUAGGAAACCUGAUACAAAGCUUCAAGUGCUUGAAACAACAUGUCCCAUGUCUGGAACAACUUCUAAAUAAUAUCAGUCAAAGAAAUAGCAGAGAGAACAUAUGGCAAUCAGUUUCUCUGGUCAUAGUACAAGUCAGCAUUGCACAUAGUAGUGCAACAGUCACUUUUUGAAGCAUAUUGUGUACCAGAUCGUUGCAUACAUCAUUCCAAUGACCUCACUUAUAUAUUACCAACAUGAUACAAGGGAUUACACAUGCUUGAAAUAUCCUAAAACAUUAAUUUUCUCUCAAGUUUGUAGCCCCCCUUAUUUACUCAAAGACAUUGAAGAACAAAGAAGCAAUGGAAUAAUGGACCAGAUCCCAUCAUUGCAUAUAUCAAGUGCUCUUAGCGUUGUUAUAUCUUUGUUAAUGUUAUUCACUCGUAACUCCUACUCAACUUAGUAAGAAGCAUCUUGUAGGAUAUCCUUGUAAACCAUAAAUUAUGUAUUUGUGUUUUGACUUGAGUUAGUCAAAGUGAUAUGAUUUAUAAUGGAGUUAUUACACAGAGGCUUACAAUAUAGUUAUUGCAUGUUGCGAGGGAUUAAAAUUUUUAUUCAAAGGUUACAAUAGGUUGAAAUCUAAAGUCGCUCGAUAUAGUAAAGUUGAAAUCCUAAGAGUGUAGGUCGAGGUUUUUAAUCCCGUGAACUUGAAGUUUUCACAUAUAAUAUCGUUACAUUACUUACUUAUUAUUGUCUGUGUGUUCUAUGGGAACUAACAAAUAACUAGGUCCAAUAUACUUUUAUGGACUCUUAGUUUACAUCAUAUAUAGACUAUCCAAAGUCUAGGAAUAUCAAUUGGAGUUUAAUAACAUCAAAGUCAACUCUUGGUCAAACUUAUGAACACUUAAGUUCGUCAAAUUGCCAACUUUUGGAAAAUAGUGUCGAGUUCUUCUAGCAACCUCCGAAAUCAAAUCAGAACAUAUGCAUAAGUCCAAAAUCAUCAUACGAGCUUAUCAAAACAAUCAAAACCUGAUUCCGAGUUUGUUUAUCCAAAAUAAAACUUUGGUUAAUUCUUUCAACUUAAAGCUUCAUAAAACAAGAAUCAUUCUUCUAAAUUAAUCCUGAUCCACUCGAAAAUCGAAACCAACCAUACAUGCAAGUCAUAAUAUAUAAUAUGAAGCUACUCAAAGUUUCAAACUACCAAAUAGAAUUCUAAAGCUCAAAAUGACCGGUCGGGUCGUUACAUGAAGCUUACUAGGUUAAGGUGUGUUUCUUGUAUUUGCGACAUGUAGCUUGAAUGAGAGGCGACGAGCGUAUAUGCAAAGCUAGGUUAUGACCACAUUUGAUAGAGUUUGUCUUAUGUUUUUCUUUGUUUGGACGAGGUGAACUUAUUAUCUAUGAGUUAUUGAUUUGAUGGUUAUGUAAUAACUCAUAACUGAGGCUUAGGAACAUGUUUAUGGUUAUGACAUGUUUAAUUUGAAAUAAAUAAUUAUUUUUCCAUAUUGUGAUUCCUUGUUAAGCCGUGGUCUUAUACUUAUCUUAUUGAUUCAUGAUUUGGUGGUUCCAUGGAUCAAUUCAUUCAUGUUAAAUAUCGCGAAAAAACUUUUGAAUGAUAAGAAUUGAUUAUUGAAUACAGAUAAAUUGAAUUACAUGAUUAGAAAUAGCCAUCUUUUAGCUAUAUAGGCCUCAAUCCACAUUUGUAUUCAUAUGAUAUGGUGCCUCUUAAUUAUGUUUUUUCAUACAUAUAUCCAUGAGUUGAAGAGUUGAAUUUUGUGAAAAUAUGAUAAUUUAGGCACCAAAAAUAUUGUUUGAGGAUAUUAAUUAUUAUUAAUAUUGUAGUUGGAUCGGGUUGCACGCUAAAAUUGUAUUAUGUAUGGAUCAGGUUGCAUGUUGCAACGGUAGUAUGAGUGAAUCGGGCUGCACACUGCAACAGUAUUAUUAGUGGAUCAUAUUGCAUGCUGCAAUGGUUCUUAGAUCCCUCCCUCCGAAGUCAAGUGAUUACCCAUGUUACUUUGGGCUCUUUGAACGAAGACACUUAGAAUGGUGCUAGUUUGGAUACUUGUCCGAUGCCGGAUAUAUGUAGGAUCAUGAGCAUGAAUUAGUAGCUUAGACUCAUGUAGUGGAUCUUAUAUAUGUUUAUUUAUUACAACCCAAAAAUUCUACCUAAUCGUGAUGACACCUAACAACAACACACUAGGUAAGCCAAACAAUACGAGACAAAACUCGUAGGAAAUAGCAUCAAUAAUCAAUAAAUCAAAAGGCAAAUACUCCUUACAACUACCCCUAGAAUAGGUAGUAUAAGUCAAGAAUGACUAAAAUUUAGAUUUACAAAGCUGGUACGAAGGAUAAAUAUAACAUUUGUUUGAAGUUCACAUAAAUAUAAUUAUAAAUUCUAAACUAUCUUGAACAAGUGGUAUCUUGAUUGGAUUUCUAGUACUACUCCAAGGCUAUCCUUCGCCAUCCACCGCAGCUCAGUGCCAAGAUCUGCAUGCAAGAUGCAAAAUUGUAGUAUGAGUAAAACAGAUCCUAUUAACUCAGUAAGUAUCUUGACUAACUUUGGUGAAGUAGUGACGAGGUUUUAAGUCCAAAGAUACUCACAAUACGUAACUUGUACAACCCAAUAUCAUAUAUAUGUACACUCUAACAAUAUCAAAAUCUAAGCGUGGAGUACAGAUAAGGCCAUAAGUGCACAUAGUGAAGAUAUAUACAAGCAUUGUAACCAAAUAAACAGUUCCGUAUAUAGAGAAGGUACAAAUUUGGUAUCAAACAGCUCGUCAACAACUGUAAUAGAGAAGAUAUGCAUAGGUUUUGUACUAGUUUAACCACUUUCCAUAUAGAGAAGGUAUGCUUCUAACACCAUUAAAUUAUCCUCGGUUGCAUAUAUAAAAGAUAUGCAUAAAUAUGAAAUAACUGCCCGCAUUUUUUUAAUAAAGAAGAUAUGCAUGAAUGAACAAUUCAAGUGACACAGACUAUCAUAUAAAAAAGAUAUGUACCAUGAAUCAUUUCAUCAACUAAAGCAGAAUACAGAGAAGAUAUAAGUAAAAGGCAUGAAUACAUUGUAAAGCUAGCAAAUUUUCUAUAAUCCACGUCAAUCAUAAAUCCAUCAAUUUUUCACAACCUGAGUGUACGCCAUCAAGAGAGAAACACGAGAGGGCGAUCCUAUGAGGAUGGAUCCUUAUUAACACACACAUAAAAAUCAUGUAUUGCACAGACAAUUCACGUGCCAUAAUUAGAAUGCCCUAUGGACAAAUCAUGUGCCAUCAUCAUAACGCCGCAUGGAUAACUCAUGUGCCAUAAUAAUAACACUUUGCACGGAUAACUUAGGUAUUGUCAAUCCAAUUUAUCACAUAGAAAUCAUAUACAAGUAUACAUGUGCACCAUCAAAAAAUAACAAAUAAUAUACUCAUGGACCGAGGAAAAUAGCAUGCAAAAGUGUAUACAUGUAUGAAAUGUACAAUUACAAUUCAAGUUAGGCGAGUACACGAUACAAGAAUGAAUAUCAUGUUAAAAUAGGAAUUGAAGACCUACACAUGAUUUCUAGCAUGAUUAAUAAUGUUCACGUAAUUGUACAAACAUAAUAAGCAUGAUAGCAGGAAACACUAUAUCCGAAACAAGGCAUGAUAUAGACCUAAGAAUAAUCCGGAUGUGAAUUAUGUAUAGCACAUGUAUAUAUGAUCGUCACCUCGCAUAUACGUUGCUUCUCACACAUUCCAAUUAAAGAAGUAAUUUCAUAUCCUAAGGUUUAUUCCUUACACAAUAUUAGGCAAGAAGUUUACCUCGUCUGAGCUAGCCUUCAACCCCAAAUCACAUAAAAUCCUCUCUUUGGUCCUCCAAUCACACAAAUCCAAGCCAAUCGUCAAUGAAUAAAGUAAAAUAGUUCCAUAUAAAUCAAUCUCAAUAAAAGUUAACUGGGGCAUGUGCGCCUGAAGUAUGGAAAAAUACAAAAAUCCAAUUACUCAUAUCAUGCCGAGUCAAAAUAUAUAAUUCCCCAAAAUAAACUCUUUUAAGGUGCAAAAAAAACUCCUAAAUUUUGUUCCAAAUUCCAUAUUUUGCGCGUUAAAUAUCCAUGUAUAAAUCUCCCAUCACCAAGCCUAAGGUUAAAAAUAUGAGAAAAUGAGCUCAAAAUCUCGAGAAACAAGCUAUAAUAGCUGCCAAUCGACCCUUCUUCGCAAAUGCACCAAGACCAUCAUGUUUGCAAUGCACCACUCUUCCACCCUCAUUUCCUUUUUCAUGUUUGCAUUACCUACAUCCUGUACGCAUGGAGCAAUCCUGCCCCUACCUAAGACAUACUCCGUGAACGCUUAUUCAACUUCAUGAUCGCGUUAGACAAUGGGCCAUAGCCUUCGAGAAUGCACACAAACCAUUAAGAACAUGAUGAACAAAUUCCUUCAUCCCUAUUUGUAAUUUGUGAAUGGGCGCCUUCUCUCGUGAAUGCGCUAAGUACCUAACACAAGCAAAACCAACAGUGCAAACUCUGCCAAAAUGGCCUGAAAUCACCCUAGUCCUUUGGGACCCCUUCCAUCAUACCAACAAGUACAAAUACAUCAUCCAAACUUAUAUGAAUUCUCAAAAUACUAUAGAUAAUGUCAAAACCAAAAAUAAAAAAUUAAAUUAUUUUCUUAACUUUCAAACAUUCAAACUUCGUCAAACAUGUCCAAACUACACUUAAAUAUUCGGAAUUACAAUCAAACAUUGUAUAUAAGUUCUAAUCAACUAAUAAACAUAUCCAAAGUUUUAAAACCAUAUUAGGAGCUAAGUCCAGUUCUGGACAACUUUUGACAAAUAGAGCCAAAGCCUUAUAGGAAUGUCCAAAUUAAAAUUCGAACAUACACCCCAAGUCCAAAAUCAUCAUAUGAACAUACUGAAAUCGUCAAAUCCCCAUUCCAAGGUCAUUACUCUAAGGUAAAACCUAUGUCAACUUUUCCAUCUUAAAGCAUUCAAAUUGAGAAUCUCUCUAACAAUUCAAUCUUGAACCUCUCUAACACCCAAACAAAUCAUGCAUUCAAGUCAUAAUAUACCAUAAGAAGCCACUCAAAGUCCCAAAUAACAUAUGUAGAACUUAAAAUGACCGAUUGGAUCCUUACAUUCUACCUCAUUUAAAUAUACAUCAAUUCACGGACGUGCCAAGAGUCAUUCCAAAGUCUUCAAAUCACUAUAUAAACUCAUCAUAUGCCUACUUAUGGGUGAUCUCACAUCACCAAUACCCAUGUAAGUACAUUAACAAUAGCCAAGCUAAAUAUUUUUUCUUUAACCCUAGCCCAUAAGCCAUAGAACCUAAUUUCAACAUCCAGAAUUUCUUAUAAGAUUUGAUUCUUGUAUAUAUAUACACUUAUAAAAACCCAAUCAUUUGUUUUUGAGCAUUUACAUUUUUUCCAUCUAUUUUAAGUCAUAUGUAUCUUCAUGAUGUAUUCUUACUAGUGCGAAUUGUUGGUUUUGAUUUUCAGGUGAUUCGAAAUUGAUUUGAAAGAAUGUUUCUCAACUAGUUCACCAAGUUUGACUUUUAUGUAUAUUACCUCAUAUUAGAGUUUUGAUGGUUUUUCUAGGGUUGGAUAGUGAUUUUUCACUUGGUCAAAUGUUUGGAUUUGCAUUUGGAUGUUUCUAGAAGGUUUUAGCACUAAUUGGCAAAAAUCUGCAACUUAAAGGUUUGGAAUGUUCAUAAGUUUAGCUGUGACUUGACUUUGCAUAUCAGGCUCAAAUUGUUGUUUUGAAAGUUGGAAUAGUUUUUAUAUGCCAUUUGGAACUUAUAUGAAAAGUUUGGGUUCAUUUCGGAUUGGUUAGGCUUGAAUUGGAUGCUUGGUUUGAGGUUUGAAGUUUAUGAACUUAAGAGAUUGAUCUUGAUCAAUGAUUUGUGGUUUAGAUAUUGUUAUGUGUGAUUUGAGGCCUCGAGUAGGUUUGUAUUAUGUUUUGAGACUUGUUAGUUUGUUAGGACGAGGUCCCAGGAGGCUCAGGUGAGUUUUGGGGUUGUUUUGGACCUAUUCAAGGCCCUUUUUACUUGCUGGUUUUUGGCUACAGGGUUGUGAAUCACGAAGAUUUGGUGCUGUUUUGGCCUUGUGAGUCGUGAUAGUGGAAUCAAUUCUCGCAAUUGCAUAGAAGAAUUACUAUUAUCGCAUGGCUGACUUUGGAAGCUCAUAUCUUGCAAUCUAUAAGAAAUGUAGAGAUGAUCCAAAAAUUAAUAUCAUAGCCUAUUCUGUCUAGUUUUUAGAAAACUAAAUUGUUUUUCAUUUGGAUUUUUGUACAAAAUGUUAUGCCAAUUAUAUAAUUGGCUGCCUGGAAGAGUUGGCAAAGUUAUUUGGAGUUUGUUCAUCGCGAUCAAAGGGGCAUGGCUAUGAUCGUGAAGGGUAAAAAAUAUGUUGGAAUUUUAUUUGAAUCGGGAUUCUGACGUUGGUGACCGUGAUCAUGAAUAAAGAGCCCUAGCACCGCAUUAACACAUUAAAUUUUGGGAUUUUCAGUUUAUUUUCUUCAUAUUUUGUGGUGGGAAGCUCAAAUUUUGGGCAAUUUCGGAGACGGUUUUCACCAAAUGGAUUGGGGCAAGUAUUUUCUACUAGAGUUUUAAUGAAAUUUGUGAUUCCAUCUUCAAUUUUGGUAUUUGAUUGAAGAUUUUGAAUGUUUUGAGCAUUUUUUGCAUAUUUUCCUAAAGUGGAUUUUUUAGUUUUCAACAUCGAUUCAGAAUCGAAUUUGAGUGAAACUAGUAUGAUUGGACUUGCAUUCGAAUGGGUUAUCUGAAUUUGUGAGAUUUGUUAUGUUCCGAGGUGCAUGCAUGGGUUUAAGUUUUUGGUUUACUAUGAGUACUUUAUUAAAUAAUCAAUCUUUAUCAUUUGGGUUUGUGUCCUAUGGAACUAUUUGAUGUUUUUGAGUUAUUUUUUGCUAGUUUCGAGUCGUUCAAAUGUUUAUUUUUUUGGGAUGGAAUUUUUAGAGUAUCACUUGGCUUGAUCGAUAUUUGAUUUGGAUUCCUUGAGGUAAGUAACAUAAAUAAACUUGGAUUUGAGGGAAAUUAACUAUAGAAACUAUGUUAUAUGAAAGGUAUUGUGGUGACGUAGCGCGGUGCAUGCACCGAGGUAUUUACGGGUAGUUCUUAGGCUAUUUUAUGGAUUGUUUUGGUAUCAUUCUUCUUUGAUAUCAUGUUUUAUCCAUUUGUGCGACUACGUGGUAUAUUAUUCAUGCCAGAAUUCGUGCCUAGGAUACCUGUUCAAUUGUUGGAGACAUUAUAAGGCUAUUUUUGCAAUUUUAAGCUAUUUGCCUUAGUCGUAGUCAUAUUGUACAGUCAUGAUAGUUACAUCCGCAUGUUAUAUCUCGGUCUCCAUGCACUUUUUAUAUACUGUCUCACAUAUUAUUGGUGUCCUUGUACGUGACACGAGUUUGAACUGUAUUUGAGAAAUAUUGUGUUAUUCUGUUUUAAAUAAGUGCAUUGUGAUUAUGUAAGAUGCCUGCAUAUUGGGACUUGAGCGGAUUGUUGAUAGAUAUGGGCCAUAGAACCGUAUUGAUAUGGAUAUUUUGGUCAGGUUGUAAGCUCUAAUGGUUAUAUUGAUAUUUAGAUGACGUGUAUGUCAACCAACACAUUGGGCUAACCUCUACUGAUUUGAGGCUAUGUGUCACGACCCCAAACCCGAUCGUGAUGACGCCCCGCCGCAAGGCUGGGCAAGCCCAACCAAACCACUUCCAAAGAACGGCAUUCCAGCCCAAGGAGAUACAAAUUUAAGGUAAAAUAGCAAAUUUAAAAAUAUAAACUCCAAACCAGGGAUAUGCAGUACGGGUGAAAACACAGAUGAGCUAACAAUACUCCAAAAACCACGGGGUCACGAGUACAGAGCCUCUAACAAUACUAAAUACAAGUCUGAAUGGAAAAUGAUACAAAUGUGUGACGAAAACAACAAAGACAGAGUAGGCGGCCCUGCGAACACUAGGUAGCUACCUUAAUUCUAUGAUCUCUCAAAUAAGCAACGGCAAUAACACUAGAUCUCUGGAGCGCUUGGAUCAGAACACAAGGUGUAGGGAGUAUGGGGUAAGUCUACCAACUCAGCGAGUAAUAAGCAUGUAUAAAAACCCGAAGAUAAGAAAACACGAAAUAACACAAAAUAAAGCUAUCUAGCUGUUCAUGAUAUAUAAUAAUAUGCAAUUCAUGACAAUUCUGAGAUAACGAUCCUUGAAGGAUCCUACAAGUUGGCACAAGGCCCCAGACAUGGCAUCAAGCCCAAAUAUCAUCAUAAUAGUAUGCGUACGAAAUCACACAGAAUGAAGCUAUCUAGCAGAUCUAUAUAGUUCAAGCCUCAGAGAUAUACACAUAAAGAAAUAGUAAAUAAAUGCAUGAGAUGCAAUACAAUGCAUGAACACUGCUGAACGUGCUGCCCGAUCCAUUUGGGUACCCGCGCUCACUGUGGGGGUUCAGACUCCGGAAGGGCUCCUACAUCCCAAGCGCCAUAUCAUACGAUGCCAAUAGUUACCACCAUUCCAAUAACAAUAUACAGUCCAGAAAAUAAUGAAAUGGUAAUCGUCAGCCCGAAAUAUCAUUGAAGAAUCAUUUGAGUUUUCAAAACGUACAUAUCAUACAGUGCCAAUAGUUACCACUUUUUCCAUGAGAAUAUACAGUGCCAAUAGUUACCAUCAUUCCAAUAACAAUAUACAGUCUAGAAAAUAGUGAGAUAGUAAUCUUCAGCCCGAAGUAUAAUUUAAAAAUCAAUUAAGUUUUCAAAACGUAUAAAUAUGGCUGAGUUUGCAAAAAUAGUGUUUAAAACCCUGGACUGGAUUCAAAUAAUAUGCAAAUCAUGGUAAUUCAUAAAUAACAAUCCCUGAAGGAUUCUACAAGUCGGAAUAAGGACCCAAACAUGGCAUCAAGCCUUGAUAUCAUCAAUAUAGUAUGUGAAGCAAUCGCCAACAUAACAUAAUUUUCAGAUUGGACCGACUAACAAUUUUCAAAAUAUUCAACCCCACGCUAGCCAUGAAGUGCGUGUCUAGCCACAUAAUAGCGUCACAAAGUGAUACACCGGAGUCUCAGACCCUCAGAUCAUCAUAUACACCCAUUACUCACCUCAAGCAGGCCGCAAACUAGCUCGCAAUGCCUUUCCCUUGAGAAUCAACAUCCGCGGAUGCCAAAUUUGAUCAAACCCAACAGGAAUACAUCACAAUAGCCUAAUGGAACAUAACCAAAUCGAAAUAACUCAAAAUACACCCAAAAACACGAAGUUGGCAAAACUCGAGCCCCGGGUCAACUUGUCAAAAAAUUACGAAAUUCACAUUUUCGGAAUCCUUGUCUUGCCACGAGUCCAUCCAUAUCAAAUUUACAAGAAUCAGAGUCCAUUUAACCACUCAAAUCAACACGUUAAGGUCACUUGGGUUUCAAGUCCUAACCACCAUUUUUGACAAUAAAACCCUUGAAUUCCUUGUGUUGAAUCCAUGAUUUUACACUAUAAUGACAUACUUUAGGUCUAAGAGUUCUUACCUGAUGAAUUUCAUCAAAACCUCUCCAAAAUCGCCCACAAUCGCCAUAGACCGAAGUUCCAAUGUUCUUCACUUUUAAAAAUUUCAAAACCUACUGUUUCAUUAAACCAAGCCAAUAUCCGCUCGAGUGGCCAUUUCUCCGCUUCCGCGAGUUCCGCUUACACAUCCUUCUGACCGCUUUUGAGGUUUAACUUAAAUCCCCAGCAACCGCUUCCGCGACUUCACUCCUGGAGUCGUUUUUCCGCUUCUGCGGUCCCAGCCAAAAUGGCAUUGGCCGCUUCUGCGGCCCAUCUUCCGCUUCAGCGGACACCGCCUACACGGUCCACUGUCCGCAAACGCGGAAAUACCAGAAGACAGACUCCCAAAUCUGAAGAAAACUCCAAAAAUUCUCGUUUAACUAUCCGGAAUCACCCUGAAGCCCCCGGGGUCCAAACCAAAAACACAAAUAUGACCAAAUACCUCAUUCAAACUUGCUCGAGCCCUGAAAACACCAACAUUAACACAAAAAAUCGUCAUUUUCCUCCAAUCAAAGCCUAAGACAACUUAGAAUUUUCCAAAAUCACAUUCGAUGCUGAAACCAACCAAACGAAAGACGAAUGACUUAUAAAAUUGCAGACCUAUCCAAAAUCACCUAAUAAAGCUAUUGCAACUCUCGGAAUUCUAUUCCGACCCUCAUAUCAAAUUCUCACCUAUCAACCGAAAUUCGCCGAAAUUCAACUUAGCCAAAUUCAAGCCUAAUUCUACACCGGACCUCAAAAUUAAAUUAUGAUUUCUCUCCCAGGUCCCAAAUAAUCCCCCGAAACUAGUCGAAUAAUCGAAAAUUCGUUCCGAGCCUUCUAACUCACAAGCCAACAUCCGGUUGACUUCACCAACUUAAGCUUUCUUUAAAGAGACUAGUGGUUUCAUUUCUAACCAGAUUCAACCCAACACACUUCAAACUCACCAAACAUAUAUAUCAACACGCGGGGAAGCAUAAUAUGGGGAUAACGGGGCUGAAAUACAAAAGAUGACGUGUCGGGUCGUCACAUCCUCACCAACUAAAACAAACGCUCAUCCUCGAGUGGUCGAAAAACAUACCUGGAGCCUCAGACAAACGAGGAUAUCUGCCCUGCAUCUCCUGCUCGGUCUCCCAAGUGGCCUCCUCCACGGGCCGACCUUUCCAAUGUACCUUCACCGAAGUUAUGUCCUUAGAUCUCAACCUGCGGACCUGAUUACCCAAAAUAGCCACUAGCUCCACAUCAUAGGUCAAAUCCUCAUCCAGCUGGAUCGUGCUGAAGUCUAAUACAUGAGACGAGUCUCCAACAUACUUCCUAAACAUAGACACAUGAAACAUCGGGUGAACCCUCGACAACCUGGGUGGCAAAGCAAGCAUAUAGGCCACCUCCCCAAUCCUCCAGAGUAUCUCAAAAGGUCCAAUAAACCGCGGACUCAGCUUCCCCGACAUACUUCCUGAUCAUAGAAACAUGAAACACCUGGUGAACCCCCGACAAAGAGGGUGGCAAAGCAAGCACAUAGGCCAACUUCCCAAUCCUCCUGAGUAUCUCAAAAGGUCCAAUAAAUCGCGGACUCAGCUUCCCUUUCUUUCCAAACCUCAUCACGCCUUUCAUAGGCGAGACCUUCAACAGAACCUUCUCGCCCACCAUAUAAGAAAUAAAUCGCGGACUCAGCUUCCCUUUCUUUCCAAACCUCAUAACGCCUUUCAUAGGCGAGACCUUUAAUAGAACCUUCUCGCCCACCAUAUCAGAUACAUCCCAAACCUUUCGAUCCCUAUUACUUUUCUGACGCGACUGAGCCGUACGAAGUCUCUCCUAGAUAACUUUAAAUUUCUCUAAGGCAUCCUGAACUAACUUUGUCCCCAAUAAUCUAGCCUCACCGGGAUCAAACCAACCAACUGGGACCUACAUCGUCUCCCAUAUAAAUCCUCAUACGGUGACAUCUGAAUGCUGGAUUGAUAACUAUUGUUAUAAGCACACUCUGCAAGCGGCAAGAACUCAGUCCACAAACCUCCGAAAUCAAUAACACAAGCACGCAAUAUGUCCUCCAAUAUCUGAAUAGUACGCUCGGACUGCCCGUCCGUCUGAGGAUGAAAAGUUGUGCUCAUCUGAAUCUGAGUGCCCAACUCCCAAGGAAAAGUCUUCCAGAACUGGGAAAAAAACUGAGUACCCAUGUCUGAGACAAUAGAAACUGGAAACCCAUCUAACCGCACAAUCUCACGGAUGAAAAUAUCUGCCAACCGCUCUGAAGAAUAGGUGGUACACAUCGAAAUGAAAUGCGCAGACUUGGUCAGCCUAUCCACAAUCACCCAAAUAGAAUCAAAGUUCCUCCAGGUACGAGGGAGACCACUCACAAAGUCCAUAGUAAUCUUUUCCCAUUUCUACUACGGAUUAUCCAUCUGCUAAAGUACACCACCGGGUCUCUGAUGCUCAUAUUUGACCUGCUGACAAUUGAGACACCUUGCCACAUAACUCACAAUGUCCUUUUUCAUUCUCCUCCACCAAUAUUGCUGCCUUAAGUCCUGGUACAUCUUUGCGGCACCCGGAUGAAUAGAAUAUCGCGAGCUGUGAGCCUCCUCUAAUAUCAUCUCCUGAAGUCCAUUAUAAUUCACAAAGUCCUUUUUCAUUCUCCUCCACCAAUAAUGCUGCCUCAAGUCCAGGUACAUCUUCACGACACCUGGAUGAAUAUAAUAUCGCGAGCUGUGGGCCUCUUCUAAUAUCAUCUCUCGGAGCCCAUCUACAUCGGGCACGCAAAGCAGGCCCUGCAUCCGCAACCCACCAUCACUACCAAUACUCACAUCUCUGGCAUAAUCAUGCUGGACCCUGUCCUUCAGGACAAGCAAAUGCGGGUCAUCAUACUGGCGCUCCCUGAUGCGAUCUACAAAGAAGACGGGGAAACCACUCAAGACAACACCCGACUGCGCUCUGAAAUAUCUAACCUCACCAUCCGGUUGGCCAAGGUCUGAACAUCAACUGCAAGAGGACUCUUCCCAAUUGGAAUGUACGCCAAGCUACCCACACUCACCGCCUUCCGACACAAAGCAUCGGCCACUACAUUGGCCUUCCCCAGGUGAUACAACAUGGUAAUAUCAUAAUCCUUGAGUAACUCAAGCAUCUCUCCUGUCUCAAAUUCAGAUAUUUCUAUUUGAACAGGAUGCGCUUAUCCAUAUUCACCUCACAAGCUAUGCCAUAUAGAUAGUUCCUCCAAAUCAUCAAAGCAUGAACUAUAGCAUCCAACUCCAAGUCAUGAACAAGGUAGUUUUUCUCAUGGGGCUUUAGUUGCCGAGAAACAUAUGCAAUCACUCUACUCUCCUGCAUCAGAACACAUCCAAUACCAAUCCUCGAAGAAUCACAAUAUACCGUAUAAAAACCUGAAGUUGAUGGCAAUACUAACACUGGAGCCGUAGUCAACAAUGACUUGAGCUUUUAGAAGCUCUCCUCGCACUCAUCAAACCACACAAAUGGUGCAUUCUUCUGCGUCAACUUCCUCAGAGGCAAAGCAAUAGAUGAAAAACCCUGAACGAACCUGCGGUAAUAACCCGCCAAACAGAGGAAACUCCGACUCUCUGAAGCUGAGGAUGGUCUAGGCUAACUCUUCACGGCCUCGAUCUUCUUUGGGUUAAUAUAAAUACCAUCACUGGACACCACGUGUCCCAGAAAAGCCACGGAUCUAUGCCAGAACCCACACUUGGAGAACUUUACAUAAAAAUUCUCCUCUCUCAACCUCUGCAAUGCCACUCUCAAAUACAGCGCGUGCUCUUCCUAGCUCGCGAGUAAACAAGAAUAUCAUCAGUAAAGAAUCCAGAUACGGCUGAAAUACACUGUUCAUCAGGUGCAUGAAUAAGGAUGGGGCAUUAGUCAGCCUAAAUGACAUUACCAGAAACUCAUAUUGCCCAUAUCUCGUCCUAAAAGCUGUCUUCAUGAUAUCGGAAUCUCUAAUCUUCAGCUGGCGACAACCUGAACGGAGAUCAAUCUUGGAGAAUACAUUUGCUCCCAGAAGAUGGUCAAACAAAUCCUUAAUACGAGGCAGUGGAUACUUGUUCUUUACCGUCACAUUGUUCAACUAUCUGUAAUCACGGCACACUCUCAUUGUGCCAUCCUUCUUCUUAACAAAUAACAGCGGUGCGCCUCACAGUGACACACUCGGACAAUGAACCCCUUAUCUAGGAGUUCCUGCAGCUGCUCCUUCAACUCAUUUAGCUAUGGUGGUGCCAUACGAUAUGGAGGAAUAGAAAUGGGUUGAGUGCCCGGCACCAGAUAAAUACCGAAGUCAAUAUCCCUAUCCGGUGGCAUGCCCGGCAAUUCUACUGUAAAUAUAUCGGAGAACUCCCUCACCACGGGAACUGAAUUAAGACUAGGAGCCUCAGCUCAGACAUCCCUCACAAAUGUUAUAUAUGAUAAACAUCCCUUCCCAAUGAUCUGUUGGGCCUUCAAGAAAGAAAUUACCCUGCUGGGUAUAUAAUCCUUCGAACCACGCCACACAAUCCUCGGGAUGCCCAGCAUAGCCAAUGUGACUGUCUUGGCGUGACAGUCAGGAAUGGCAUGCCACGAUGAUAGCCAAUCCAUGCCCAGAAUAACAUCAAAAUCCACCAUGCUCAACAACAGCAAGUCGGCUUGGGUCUCCAAACCCUCAAUAGUAACAAGACAGGACCGAUACAAGUGGUACACAAUAAUAGUAUCACCCAUCGGGGUAGAUACAUGCACAUGCAAUGCUAGACACCCUCGGGUAGUCCCCAAAAGAUGAGCAAAGUAAGCAAAUACAUAAAUAUGUAGAUCCAGGAUCAAGUAAAAUUGAGGAAUCACUGUGGCAUACUGAGAUAAUACAUGUGAUCAAUGCGUCUGAAUCAACAACAUCUCCUCUAUCUGGAAGUGCAUAAAAACGAGCCUGAGCACCGCUCGACUGCUCAAUUCUCAUGGGGCGACACACCCCUACUAGACUGGGAUGGUAUUGAAGACAAUGGAGAAGAAGAGGAGGGGCGAUCCCUCUGCUGAUACCUACCCCCAUGAAAUUGAGGACAAUGUCUCUGCAAAUGACCUAACUCCCCACAGUCGAAACAACUGUUUGGAGCUGGAGAAGGGUACUGAAAGGAACACCUCGCCGUAGAUGAACCCUGGGCUGCCAAAGCGGGUGCAGAAGUCUGAGCUGGUAGGGUGCUGAGUGAAGACUGGCUCUGCUGGUGAACCUGACAGCCAUGACCGGAAGAAGCUCUGCUGUGCUCUGGGCGGCCUGACUUAGGAGGCCUUAAAGAACGACCUCUGCCCUAAUGAAACUGGCCCCAAGAUGGAGCACCACUAUAACUGCCCGAACCUCAAGGCCUUUUGGCCUCCCAUUCCUCUCGCUCUCGGUGACGAUGUGCCUCAAUCUGGCGAGCCAUGUCCACUACCUUCUAGAAUGAUGUUGCUACCACUCUCUCCCUAGUCAUCAAGAUACGAAUAGAAUAUUUGAGGCCAUCAAUGAACCUCCUAAUCCUCUACCGGUCUAUCGGGAUCAUCCAAAUAGCAUGUCUAGCCAACUGAGUAAACCUCAACUCGUACUGUGUCACUGACAUCUCCCCCUGAACUAGCCACUCAAACUGGCAGCCCAGCUCCUCUCUGCGGAACUGCGACACAUACUUCUCUAGAAAGAGAGUGGACAACUGCUUCCAAGUAAGGUUUGCUACUCCUGCGGGCCUACGCCACUCAAACUCCUCCCACCAUGUGAAUUCUAGCCCCGAGAACUAAAAAGUAGUGAAAGAUACCCCACUGGACUCUAAAGUCCUAGUUGUACGAAGCAUCCUCUGACACUUAUCCAAAACUCCCUGGGCAUCCUCGCCCUCAGUACCGCAAAAUGUAGGAGGCUGAAGUCUGCCAAACCUCUCUAACCGACAUUGCUCGUCGUUAGGCAUCACCGGAACAACAUGCCCUGGGCUGGCGCAGCUGCUGCAACUGGAACAGGGUAAAUGUUGGCCCCGAGAACUAAAAAGUAGUGAAAGAUACCCCACUAGACUCUAGAAUCCCUACAGUACGAACCAUCCUCUAACACAUCCAAAAAUACCUAGGCAUCCUCGCCCUCAGUACCGCUAAAUGUGAAGGCCGAAGUCAAUCAAACCUCUCUAACUAACGCUGCUCGUCAUCAGGCAUCACCGGAACAACAUGCCCUGGGGCUGGCGCAACUGGAGCAGCCGGUGCAACUGCCUGAGCUGGGGCUACCUAUGGCGUCUGAAGUCCCUGUACAACCUUCUCUGGUGUGCGAGCUGCGGGGGUCUGAUGACCACACCCGGUCUGAGAUGUCGCUGCGGCAGCUGUAGCUGAAACUGCCUGGGCCAAAACAGUACAGGCCGAUAAGAUAUGGGCUAACGCCUCCUGAAGGCUAGGAAUAACAAUAAACACUGUCGGUUCCUGAGCGGGUGCUGGUGGAGCCUUAACAACUGGGGACUGAUCCUGAAUAGGGGCAACAUGUGGCUCAACUGGUACUGCUCCUACUGCUCUACCUCGACCACGACCGCGUCCACGGCCUCUAGCUGGUGGGAAUGGUGGUCAUCCACCUUGUCUGGUAGCACGAGUUCUCGCCAUCUGCGAGAGAAUAGAAUAUAAAAGUUUGGUUCUCGGCACAACAAAACCCCACGAAAAGAGUUCUAGAACAUGAAAUGUUUUCUAAAGGUUUUGUAGCCUUCUGAGGAUAGAUACAGACAUCUACGUACCGAUUUGUGAGACUCUACUAAACCAGCUCAUAACUCGUGAGACCUAGAAAUCUAGGCUCUGAUACCAACUUGUCACGACCCCAAACCCGAUCCUGAUGGCGCUUGGCCAUAAGGUUGGGCAAGCCUGACCAAACCACUUCCAGAGAACGGCAUUCCAGCCCAAGGAGAUAUAUAUUUAAGGUAAAACAGCAAAUUUAGAAAUAUAAACUCCCAACCAGGGAUAAGCAGUACCGGUAAAAACAUAGAUGAGCCAACAAUACUCCCAAAACCAUGGGGUCACAAGAAUAGAGCCUCUAACAAUACUGAAUAAAAGUCUGAAUGGAAAAUGAUACAAAUGUCUGACAAAAACAACAAAGAAACAGACUGAUAAAGAUAGAGUAGGCGGUCAUCCGGACGCUGGGUAGCUACCUCAAUACUCUUAUAGCUCGGAUAAGCAACGGCAGCAACACUAGGUCUCAAGAACACCUGGAUCUGCACACAAGGUGCAGGGAGGAUGGGGUGAGUUAACCAACUCAGCGAGUAAUAAGUAUGUAUAAAAACCCGAAGAUAAGAAAACACAAAAUAACACAGAAUGUAGCUAUCUAGAAGAUCUAUAUAGUACAAGCCUCAGAGAUAUGCAGAUAAAGCAACAGUAAAUAAAUGCAUGAAAUGCAAUGCAAUGCAUGGACACUACGGAACAUGAAGCCCGAUCCAUUUGGGUAUUUGCGCUCUCUGUGCGGGUUCAGAGUACGAAGGGGCUCCUACAGCCCAAGCGCCAUAUCAUACAGUGCAAAUAGUUACCACUGUUUCUAUGGGAAUAUACGAUGCCAAUAGACCACCGUUCCAAUAACAAUAUACAGUCCAUAAAAUAGUGAGAUAGUAAUCGUCAGCUCGAACUAUCAUUAAAAAAUCAAUAGAGUUUUCAAAACGUUUAGAUAUGGUUGAGUUUUCAAAAAUAGUGUUUAAAACCCUCGACUGAUUUGAAAUAAUAUGCAAAUCAUGGUAAUUCAUAAAUAACAAUCCCUGAAGGAUUCAACAAGUCGGCAGAAGUUCCCAAACAUGGCAUCAAGCCCUGAUAUCAUCAAUAUUGUAUGUGAAGCAAUCGCCAACAUAACACAAUUAUCCCUCGGGUUGGACCGAGUCACAAUUUUCAACAUAUACUACCUUGCACUAGCCAUGGAGUGCGUGUCUAGCCUCAUAAUGGAGUCACAAUGUGAUAAACUUGGGUCUCAAACCCUCAGGUCAUCAUAUAUACCCAUUACUCACCUCAAGCCGGCCGCAAACUAGCUCGCAAUGCCAUUCCCUCGAGAAUCAACCUCCACGAAUACCAAAUCAGAUCAAAACCAAUAGGAAUACGUCACAAAUCGAGCUCCGGACACACUUCUCGAAAAAUUUCGAAAUAUACAUUUUCGGAAUCCUCGUCUCGCCAUGAGUCCAUCCAUAUCAAAUUUACUAGAAUCGCAGUCAAUUUGACCCCUCAAAUCAACACGUUAAGCUCACUUGGGUUUCAAGUAUUAACCACCAUUUUUUGACAUUAAAAACCCUGGAUUCCUUGUGUUUAAUCCAUGAUUUUACACUAUAAUGACAUACUUUAGGUCUAAGAGUUCUUACCUGAUGAAUUUUCUCAAAACCCCUAAAAAAUCUCCCACAAAAGCCAAUCUUCCGCUUCAGCGGACUCCGCCUACGCGGUCUAUUGUCCGCAAACGCGGAAACACCAGAAGACAGACUCCCAAAUCUGAAGCAAACUACAAAAAUUCUCAUUUAACCAUCCGGAAUCACCCCGAGGCCCCCGGGGUCAAAACAAAAAAUACAAGUAUGACCAAAUACGUCAUUCAAACUUGCUCGAGCCCCGAAAACACCAACAUUAACACCAAAAAUCAUCAUUUUCCUCCAAUAAAAGCCUAAGAUAACUUAGAAUUUUCCAAAAUCGCAUUCGAUGCCGAAACCAACCAAACAAAGACCGAAUGACUUGAAAAUUGGUAGAUGUAUCCAAUAUCCCCUAAAGACGCUACUGCAACUCUCGGAAUUCCAUUCCGAACCUCGGAUCAAAUUCUCACCUAUCAACCGAAAUUUGCCGAAAUUUAACUUAGCCAAAUUCAGCCCAAUUCUACACCGGACCUCCAAAUUAAAUUGUGAUUUCUCUCCCAGGUCCCUAAGCAUCUCUCGAAACUAGUCGAAUCACCGGAAAUCCAUUCCGAUCCCUCUAACUCACUAGUCAACGUCCGGUUGACUUUUCCAAAUUAAGCUUUAUUUAAAGAGACUAUUGGUCUCCUUUCUAACCAAAUUCAACCUAACAUACUUCAAACUCACCAAACACAUAUAUCAACACGCGGGAAGCAUAUUACGAGGAUAAUGGGGCUGAAAUACAAAAAUAUAGGGGAUCCAACAUAGUACUUUCUGACUGCAUUUGCAUUGAUUGUUGUUUUAGGGGAAUUACCUUCUAUGUGUCCCAAGUACAAUGUACUCUUUUGGCAGUACUCUUGUUGUAAUGUAUGGACAUGUCCAACAUGGAACCAAUUUUCCUUCAGAUGUUCUGAAUCUUUGUUUUAAUUCCGUAAACUUAUCUUCAUAUAGUUUUAAUUCUUGACUCAUUAUUUCGAGGUCUUGCAGCUUUUCAGGAUCUGGGCAUGAAGUCUGCAAGCAUAUCACGUUAUAUAAAUCUGCAUUUAACAGAAAUAAAAAGAGAAUAAGGAAAACAACAAGAUUAAGAAAAGAGACAAUCCUAGAUAAUGAAAUAUUAAUUUCAUUUGAUUUUUAAAAUGUUUGAUCUUUUUUUUAAUUUUUUGAAGAUAGAUGGGUUUACAUCGGAAAGUAAGAGAAUAAAGUAAAACAUCUAGAUAAUACCUUGAGAUAAUUCAGACAUAGAGAGAAUAGCAAGACUGGGUACCGAGACUCCCGUCUGAUGGGGAACUUUUAGCCUUGGCGACCGUUUUUCGACUUUUCUUCUGUUUCGGUAAUGGCUUAAUGGCCUUCCAAGGCUUGGCGAUCAUUUUUCGGCUUUUCUUCUAUUUCGGUAAUGGCUUAAUGGCCUUCCAUGCCAGAUCAAAUUCCAUAUCUUCACAAAUUAUUCCGACUAUUGGCCCGUCAUUGUUGGUAGGCAACAGAUUGUUCGCCACAUCAGGAACUUCUUCAUCGCUAAAAAUGAUUCUUUCAGCUUCAAUCAAAUUUUCAAUUGCCCUAUUAAGGGUCCAACAGUCCAUUGUACUGUGUAUCACCGCUCCAAAGUGGUAUUCACAUCUAGCAUCAGCUAGGUGCGAGGGAGACUCGGGGUUCGGCCAGUUUGCAGCCACUAGCUGUAAUCGAUAUAGCCUGAUUAGCCAUUAGAACAAGCUCGAAUAGGAUUCACCAAUAGGGGUGAACUGAUUCUUCCUGAAAGGCUCUCUCUAGGGCGAGGAUUGUAUUGGGGAUCAUUUGGUUGAGGAUUAUAUGGAGCUUAGUAAGAGUUUUGUUUAUAAUUUUGUGGCUGCGUGUAAGAUCGCGCACUCAUCACUGCAUACUGAGUCGGUGCCACAACAUCUUUAAGGGGAUAAUAGUGUGAAGGGACGAUGGGAGGAACAUAUGAUUGGCCGAAUGACCUGCGGGGCCCCUCAAGCUUGACACCAUCAUGGAUCCAUCUUCCAACCCAUUUUUGUUCAUCAAACCCUCCAAACCUUUCUGAGCAGCCUGUGAUAUGGCCUUAAUGGCAGCAUGACUCAAGAUUUGGCCCGUUUUUUAAACCGUUUUCAACCAUUUCCCCAAUUUUGAUAGCCUCGGCAAAUGAAUUUCCCAUAGCGGACAAAAUAUUUUGGAAGUUGUCAGCCUAUUGGACCCGUAUAAAGACCGUGACCAUUUCAACAUUGUCUUUAGGAGGCUUUACCAUUGCAGCUUGCUCACACCAUUUGACAGCAUAUUCGCGGAAGCUUUCUAUGGUUCUCUUUUUCAAAUUGGACAAAGUGUUUAUUUUGGGAGUGAUGUCCACAUUAUCCUGAAACUGGCAGACAAAAUCUCGAGCCAUAUCGUCUACAUAUGCCAAUGAGUAAUUUCUUCAUCUGUUUCCCCAAAAUAGGUCAAUAGCAGCUCCUCUAUUCCACCAGCACCCCUCAAUUGGUUACAGUAUUGUUUUGGAUGAGCGACCGGGUCUCCGUGCCCGCUGUACUUAGCCACUUUUGGCAUGUUGAAGCCGACUGGCAAGUGGACAUGGGGAAACAUACAGAGGUCAGAGUAUGAGACACUCUUUUGGCUACUCAGACCUUGCAUGCUUUUCAGGCUAUGUUCCAGGCUCUUAUUCUUCUGAGCCGAUUCCUCUUGCUUAAGAUUUUCAACAACCUUUUCUUGCCCCACUUAGAGAUCAUGUUGCAAAGGUUUAGUGAAAGAGUUUGGGGUCACAUAUGCUAUUUCUAAAUGAAGUUGGGGAACCUGAAAUGUGAACAUUCGAAGCGGUGCCCUUGAAGCUGGUGCCUGGGAGCGAACCACAGAAGGCAUGCCAGGAUUAUUGGAGGGCGCUCGCAUGGAAUAAGCGGGUUGGGUACAAGGGCAUUGGUAACCAUAUCUGACCUAGGGAUCAAUUCAGGGAACCCAAUGAUUGCACUUGCGGUUCCCUACCAUUAGACCAAGCGUCCCACAUUUCCAUUAUGAAAAGACGCAAUAUUUUAUUCUCUUUAGCAGCUGCUAAUUCUAGCUGUAGAAUAGCCAAUGUCGGGCUAUCCUCAAGACCGAUGAUUGCUAGAUUAUUUGCGGAGGCCAUAUGUGCCUUUGGAUUUUAUGCAGGAGGAAAGGCUAGACUACCAACAUAACCAACCACCAAAACUUGGCUAGUUUGCACAUCGAAGAACCUUGCUAGUAUUGAAACAUUUAACAUAUAGGAAAUCGCACAUCGGGAUGCAAUGCACCUAACAGUUAAACGCUUCUUCCGUAUGUUUGAUCAUUUGCAUAUUUCGUCCUAGACUUAACUAGAACUUUUCAUUUUAUACCUUUGACUCUCUUUGAUCAGUCUUGAUUUUGCAUCUUGUUUAUGUUGCUCUUUUAUUUUUGACACUCUUUGUUUUUCUUUGUCACUCUCUUAUCUUUUGUUGCUCUCCCCCCCCCCCCCCCCCCCCCUAUUUUUUUUUUUUUUUUUUUUUUUUUUUUUUUUUUUUUUUUUUUUUUUUUUUNNNNNNNNNNNNNNNNNUUUUGGCCCUCUUUUUUUUUCUUUGUCACUCUCUUAUCUUUUGUUGCUCUCCCCCCCCCCCCUUUUCUUUCUUUUCUUUUUAACUCUUUUUUUUUUCAAUUUAUUUUUUCACUCAACUAAUUUUAUGGCUAUGAUCGAAUCCGAUGGGGAUUGCCUAUGUAUCAUGACCCCACAUGAAUCAGAUCUUGCAUAGUUCGGGAAGAUUGGAAUGGAGUAAAUAAACUAACUCUUUAUUUUGUUUACUUUUAAUAAAACUCAGACCAUGAAAGCUCUAAGGCAAAAGAUAAAUAUUUUUUAUUUUUGAUUUUUUUCUUUUUCUUUAGGAAUUUUUUCUAAAAAAAAUACUUUAAAAGAAGAAAGGGAGUUUUUUACUUUUAAAAACUUUUCAUUACAACUUUGGGAAUUUCAAAACAAAAAAUAUAAAAUAUUUUUAUUUGAAUUUUCAUUUGUUUUAUCUUUUCUAAGGAAGAAAGAAAUUUUUAUUUUUUUUUUGGAUUUUGCUUGUUGCCUCUUAAUUUUCGAAAAUGGGACUUCUAAGAAAAUAUUUUGAAUUUUUUAGCUUGUAUUUAUUUACAAAAGUACUUCUAAAUAAAAGCAAAAUAUUUUUGGACAUUAAUUUUUUUUUUCAAAUUGUUUUCUUUUUUGUUGACAUUAACGAAAGAAAUAUUUUUAAAAAGGAAAAGAAUUUUUUUUUGUAUUAUUUUUUUGUUUUUUUACUUUCAAAUAAAGGAAACCCAUACGAAAUACUCCAAAAAGAAGGAAACUACUUUUUUUUUGAGUUUUAAAAACUUCUCUUUUUUGUUUUGAAUUUUCUAAGGAAUGGUUUAUAAAUAAAGAACUAAAUGAAAUAUUUUUUGAUCUUUUGAAAUUGGGGUCGGAACCGAUGAGGUUUGCCUCCGUAUCUCACAUCCGGUUAGAAUCAUACCCACGUAGUUCAAUCAGUAUUGACAGAAUAGGGAAAACAUAGCACUUUAAAUUUUGGCUCAUUUUGAAAUUAUUUUUCUUUUUUCAAAAUUUCGGCAAAGUUUUAGAAUUUUCUAAGUACCUAUCUCUCACUUUUUUUUUCUUCUUCAUUUUCGCCAGAUGUGUUGUACAUUCUGAAUUUGAAGAAGAAGCCUACUGAAACCUUUUGCGAGUAUGCUACUCGUUGGAGGUCGGAAGCUGUCAGGGUCAGACCGACUUUGGAAGAAGAACAAAUGAACAGAUUUUUCGUUAGUGCUGAGGAUCUGCAGUACACAAGUCAGGCCGGCUUUGGAAGAAGAAAAAAUAAAUCGAUUCUUUGUUCGUGCCCAGGACCCACAGUAUUACGAGAGAUAGAUGCUGAUAGAGGGGCAGAAGUUCGCUAAUAUCAUCAAACUGGGAGAAAGGAUUGAAGAUGGAAUAAAAAAUGGUAUGGUUAUCAAUCUUGAGGCACUACAGGCCACCAACAAAACCUUGCAAUCUGGUGGUUCGUCAAAGAAAAAGGAUUUCAACUCCGUAAUGGCUGCACAAAGAAACCAUUCUCCCAUGAAAUACCAACCCUACUGUUCAACUCCACUCACGUACCAACCCUCCCUAAAUUACCAAGCACCUUCGCCUACUUACCAAAAUCCACCGCCAAUCUACCAGUCAUCUCCACCGCCAUUGUACCAACCCACCUCGCCAGGAUAUUCCCAACCCGCACCUGUAUACCAAGCCUACACACCAAAACCUCCUUACUAUCCGUCACAACCUACCCAUCAAAACUUCCCACGACCAAGACCAAAUUUUGACCGCAAUCCACCUAGACAGUACACUACUAUUGCUGAACCCAUUGACCAACUCUAUGAGAAGCUAUGGGUACACCUGUCCUAGACGAACCCAACCCCUAUGUUGAGUCCCCAAAGUCAGAUGCAUAUGAUGCAAACAAACGUACCUACUAGGGAUCCGACAUGAGGCUAUGUUAUUACAUGUUUAAAAAUAUGGGUGUAUUGUUCUAAACCUAGCUUACUCGAGCGGACCACUCGAGCUGGGGAGGGGGGCAGCGUACCAGGAAUACAGAAGCUUCAACGGAUUUGCGACAUGUUUGAACCUCGUUCUAAAUUUAGGAUAAGACUCUAACAGAGUGCACACUUCCCAGAUGAGUUAGAAGACUUAGAGAGGAGAGGGUUUCGUGGCAGUUUAUAUACAAUCCAAACAAUAUCAAAGCGGUAAAAGCGACAUUUAGCAUAUUAGGCUCAACAUGUAAAAAUCAGAUAAAACAAGCCAACUAUAACAGUUAUUCUAAGCUCAAAUUCUUAAACCCUUAACCAAAGUUUUGGAUUUGGAUCCCCAGUAGAGUCGCCAGAGCUGUCACACCUCCUUUUUUACACGGAGGGUAUAUAAUGGAGUUUUUCCACUUUAAUGGACAUUACUCGAAAUGGAAUUAAUUUAUUUAUUUUAUUAGAGUCACCACUUGGAAUAAUUUAAUUGGUGUUCCAAGUCACCGAUUUAAUUAAAUCCCACAUCGAGAAAAAUUCGUCUUUCCUUUUGAAGUUUUCGAACCAGAAGUUCUAAGUAAGGAAUUCUAACUUAACUAGGGAGAAGUUAUUAGGCAUUCCUAGAUUCUAUGAUUCUAGCACGAUCGCUUAUACUAUUAUAAUUGGCCUAUUAUCUUAUUUAUUACAUAUUUUAGCCCAUGGGGCAUUUUUGACUUAUUAAACCGCUUUUAAUUAUUUUCAGGAAGAUUCAACGUUAUUAAAAACACGCCUUGAACCACGCCAAAUGAAAUACAUCCGCGAUCCAUGACACAUUUUAUUCAACGUUAUUGAGAAUUGGAGUUGGCUCACAUGAAAUGGACAUGGAAGUUUAAGGAAAUUAAGUUAAAUAACACGCCUAAAGCAACUACGCACAUACAAGUUUGCGAAGGCCAUGGAAAAUUGAACUAAUGGCACACCUUGGGAUUUGUGUUGUAAUAUGAUUACUUUCAAGUGGGCUUUGUUUCCUUCGCGUAUUUUGAUGGCUAUGUACUGAUUUUGGUUAGAUUUGGAGCAUUCGGAGGCUGACUCGAGAGGCAAAGGCAUCACGGGCUAGAGUUUGGACUGGAUAGAGGUAAGUAAUGGUUGUAAAUGUUGUCCUAGGGGUUUUGGAACCCCGAAGUUAACAUAGUUGUGCUAUUUUGAGGUGACUCACACGCUAUAUGACGAGCGUGGGUUCGCGCACCGUUGGGGAUUGUGACUUAAUCCAUCCCGUAUGACAGUUUAACUACGUGUUUGAUUGAAAACGGUUUGUUAUUAUCAUGUUUUUUGAAUAAAUGCUAUGUUUGGGCCUCGUGCCAACUUUUUCGGACCGUUAUAAGACUUUUACUACUUUUUCUCACUGCUUUGACUUAAUAAUUGUACUCAGUGAUGCUGCAUGUUUUGUACUUUCCUAACUCAACCUUAUUUACUCGUUUACCUUAAAAAUGGUAGCAACAAUUAAAAUUGUAAAUGGGAUUUCAAAACUACAUGAUCUAUUCCUGAGCUAGUUGUUAAAGCAGUUGAUGCUAAAAAUGUUAAAUUCUACCAUGAAACGUGAGCUAAGAUAAAGCGCUGAUCAAACUGAAAAAGCAUGUUUCCCGGAUGAGGGGCCUGUCGAUGGAGGUCUCGGAGUCAAGGCUUGAGCCGGGCUCAGGUUAUCGGGGUCAGUUGGGAGUGGGAAAACAAGUAGAAAUACGAUUAAGUAAGGAUCUUUAUGGCCAAUGUUGAGAUAUAUGGUGAAGAACAUGUAAGAAAAUGAUAAGUUCAAAAGAGGCCUCGGGCCAAGAGAGUAAACAACUUAGAAGAAAAGCGAGAGAUACAUUAUUGCACUUGUGGAGAAAUGGAGCAACAUCAUCCGUUUGUAAGGUGGGGCGAGUCCCCUUUAUAUAGGGGGUGGGGGCUCGUCUACAAGUAUUUAGGGAUUAAUUACAAAGUACGGUGAUGGGAUGUCUUGACAUGAUUCUUUAGUAUAGGCUCUAGAUAGGCCAGGCCUGUCAGACGUAGCCAUGUGACUAAAGGGCUUCCCUCUUUGUCUGCGGCGUAGUUCUUCGUUUUCUCUGAGUCGGGCUUUGGCGAGCCCUGAGGUCGAUAAUUCAGUCACAACCUCCCUCCAUCGAGGUCUCGAGGCAUGCUUCUCGAAUGCCUCAACAGCGAGAAAUAAAGUCUUCUGAUUUCACCAUGUAUAGAUAGUCUCCGCAUUUCCUGAAAUGAAGGGACGGGAAUUGAUUUUGCCAUUUGACUCCUCGGGCCUCUUUCGGCAAUGCAAUGUCGAUGAUGCAAUCCCUGGCUCAUGCUUUUCGACUUCAUUCAUUGCAUUCCCUAAUUUUUGCUUCAUAAUAUAUAGGUGGUGCUAUUGGUUCAUUUUUCCAUAGAUGCAUUAAUUGCGUCCGUCGGUCAGUCUCUAAGCCUUGAUGGUCGUACCGUAAUCCCCUAUAAAUUGGGGUUGCCUUGGCUUUGUUUUUCCUAUCUCAAUGCUUCUAUUGGCUUUCUUGCCUUUUCCUUCCUAUCAUUAUCUUUCACCCUUGAACGUCAUUUUAUGGGCUUAUGACCAUAAGUCUGUUUUGAGAAGUACCCUUAAGCUGUAUUGUGGCUUUCUGCCGGGGCCUCCAUUUGCCAAAUGUAAGAGUAUUGUUCAGCUUUUGUUUUUUCCGUCGGCACAUUGGCCCUUGUUGAUACUGCUGGCCCGAGGUAAUAAGGGAUAGGGAGUCUGCUCUUCCCUCAUGUUGACAGUAGUUUGGAUUAUGCACUACCACUGAAAAGGGGGCUCGGACUAUACACCGCUGCUCACCUUCAUACCCUUUGCUCAACGUGGCGCUCUACUCUGAUUGGGGCUUGCACGGCUGGACUUUCCAAGAAGUGGAUCCAAAAUAUCCGUGCAAGCGGGACCGAGGAUUUUUCGGUCUGGUGUCUCUCCGAGGCUUCUUUAGCAAAAGAAGCUCCUCGAGCUUCGAAAAUGUAUGGUUUUUUUCAUCCCUUCCUAUCACUCACCUUGUCCCUUGGGGAUAUAAGUAUGGAAGGGUGAGAUGAAACUUCCGAGGAGGUUUGCAUGUAAGGGCCUGCUAUGGACUUUCGAAGGUGGAUCAUUCUUUGGGUCUUCACCUUGCGCGUGCAUCCCUUUGCCUUUUCCUUUAGACGUAGAAAUCCUACGUAGGCUUUUGUAUUUGUAUGUUACGACCCCUCGAGGGCUACUUGUACAUAAAGUUUUAAUGAAUAUGAAUAAACAUCGUUGAUUUCUUCUUUCAAAUUUUUCUUUUGUUUCUGUAUGCUCUCAUGCCCUUCGAGGCUCUUCAAAUGUCUCCUUUUGUUUGUUGAUCGCUGAUAUCUAACUUGGAUGUAAGUAUUUAUUAUGGUCAUCUGAUGAUCGACAUGGGUCCCUUUCAAACCCAUCGUCGCAUUUUGGAGAAACUCUGGAUCGAUCCGAUGGGUCAGGGCUAUUGAGGCACCCCGAGUUGUUUGGGGAUCAUGAGUCGAAUUUCGGAGCUUUCGGAGCGCUAUCCUAGAUGUAGGUCAUCUUCGGGUACCCGAGGGUCCCUAUUGAUCUCGACGUAGAUGGCCCAUUUAGACUUUAUAAGAUAGACUGUUGCUGAGGAGCUUGCAUAUAUUUGGGCGCUUACUCGGACCUUUGUGGAGCUUUCACGAUCGGAGCUUCCUGCGUUUAUUCGUCUUUUUCAGAAAGAGUGGAUUGUGAGAUUAGUUACUCGCCUUGAUUGAAACAUCAUACAUAGACCUUAGAGCACAUAGUACUUUCUCUACUUAAAGGUUCUUUUAAUUGUCCUUUAGUUGUAUAUGCUAUCUUAUCCUCAUAACUUCCAAUAGUCUUCUUAUUGUUGAGAUGUAUUAAUAUGUGAGAUGUAUUAAUACGUAAAGAUGUAUUAAAUCAUCUCUGAUUCUACUGAAAGUGAAUAAUUAUUAUGUUGGUUUUAACAUGUGACUGUAUGAGAAAUUCAUUUAUGUUGGAGAGCAAAAUCUAUACACGAAAGAGAACCUCAGAGAGCAUUAAGUCUCUGAAACGUGAUUUUCAGAAAUGGGGGUUUUCCAGUAAUAAUAACAGAGUCCGAUCCAAUUCCCUUCUCAACUUUUUUUUUAUUUUUUUUAGCUCAAACUGUCGUAUAUCAUUUAUAUCAAAAAAUUUACAUCUUGUAUCAAACCUGGCAGUAGUAUGGACUAACUACUACACUGCUUCAGUAAUCUAUAUUCUUGACUAUCUAUAAAUAAGUAAGCAUAUGAAAAUUAAGUAAGCUGCCUAAGGGUAACAGUUUAACUUGCUCAAUCCACUCUGCCAGUUCUUGCAGUUUCUGCCUCUAAGGUGUAGGAGUAGUGCAAUUUCUCUGCAUGUCAAAUUCCUUACAAAGUCUGCUCCUUCAAAUCGAAUAUGGUUCAUUUCCCUCCAAAUGAUUGCAGUAGUGGUUACAAAAGCAGCAGUUGUGAUAGCAUUCUUCCACUGCUUGCUUCUAGCCUUGCUACAAAUCCAUUGUACCUCAUUAUCCCAGAAGUCAAUGGUCCUGGAAUGUCCCAGCCACACACAAAUUCUCGACCACAACCUGUUGGUGAUGUAGCAUUCAAAAAAGAGAUGCUUGAAAUCUUCAACAUACUGCUUACAGAAUGCACACAUUGCUGGAACUUGUAUGCCCAUGAUUUGUAAUCUAUCAACUGUGGGGAGCUUAUGCUGAGCAGCCAGCCAAACAGUAAACUUAUGCUUAGGAAGUACAUUACCAAUAAGCAUUAAGUUCUUCCAUGCAACCUUGGUGAAAAUAGGCAGCAUAGUAAUAUACAGUUUGUGAAUAUGGAACUUGUUCAUCCUGCAUACACUUUGCAACCUGCAUAUAAGAUUACCCUGUAACUGAGCAUUUUCUAUCACCAUGGAUCUACUAUCAAAAAUAUUUUUGAUCACCCAAGAAGUUGUAGUUGGUACAACAACUGUGUCAAUGUUCCCCUUCUUGAUGUAAUAGGCAUGAACCCAUCUGACCCAUAAGCAGUCUUUUUCCCUAGCCAAGUCCUAUAACAAUUUGAUUGUUCCAUACAGACAACCUCAGAAUAUUAAGUCCACCAGAAGAUAAAGGUUGUCAUACCUUGUCCCAGGCAACUAAUGCUCUUCUGGAUAGUGUGGCUUUACCAGUCAGAGGUAAGUUCUACAUAUUGCUUCUAUAGUCUUCAGUACUUUCUUGGGUAUAAUAAACACCUGAGCCCAAUAAGUCUGAAUGUCAAAAACCACAGACUUAAUCAAUUGAGUUCUGCCAGCAUAAGAUAGCAAUUUAGCUGACCAACAAGUCUCUUGUUGUUAUCUUCUCAAUAAGACGCAAAUAGUGAUGAAUAGCCAACUUCUUUGAAUCCAGUGGAACACCUAAAUAUCUGAAAGGGAGAUGUCCUUCAGUGAAUCCCAAAGCUGCAAUAAUUUCUUCUCUGAUGUCCUGUUGAACCCCAGCCAAAUAGAUUGCACUUUUACUUACAUUAGCCUGAAGACCAGAUGCUGCUGAGAUUUGAAGAAGAGCCCUGUUGAACCCCAGCCAAAUAGAUUGCACUUUUACUUACAUUAGCUUGAAGACCAGAAGCUGCUGAGAAUUGAAGAAAAGCCCUGUGCAAUAUCUGGAUGGAUAUUAAGUCAGCUCUGCAAAACAUGAGCAGGUCAUCAGCAAAGCAGACAUGAGAUAUACAGAGUUUCCUGCACUUUGGAUGGAAAUUGAAGUUCCUAUCUUUAUGCAACUGCUGGAGUAAUCUGUUAAGAUACUCCAUAGCCAACACAAAGAGGUAAGGUGACAUAGGAUCACCCUGUCUUAUGCCUCUCUUAGCAAUGAAAGGUUUAGUUAAGCCACCAUUCAUUACUAAUGAGUAUGAGACAGAUGAGACACAAGCCAUGAUCCAUGCAGUAAAUUUAGCUGGAAACCCCAUGUCAAAGUUGGACAACAUUGUAUAAGCGUGACUCAAAUAGUAAGACACCUAUGCUUCCUUCCCAGGUCAAUUAGAAUCUGUCUCAGAAAACCCCAUUCCAGUGUAUCAUGCUUUCCUUAAGUCCACUUUAAGAACACAUCUAGGAAAAACACCUUUUAUAGAAUACCCUCUGAAAAUUUCAUGACUAAGUAGGAUGUUAUCCAUAAUACCCCUUCCUUCAAUAAAUGCAGAUUGGGCAGGCCCAACCAGUUCUCCAACCACAGCCUUCAUCCUUCUGGUAAUGACUUUAGAUAUGAUUUUGUAAAGAGUAGUGCAGCAGGCAAUAGGUCUAAAGUCCUUCACAGUGGUAGGAGUUUUAAGUUUAGGCACAAGGGCUAUGGCAGUGGUAUUUAUCAUAUGUGGCAUUUGGCAUGUAGCAAAGAACUCCUUAGCAGCAGAUAGUAUAUCUUCUUGCACCACCUCCCAGUUCUUAGUAAAGAACAGGCUAUGGCAGUGGUAUUAAUCAUAUGUGGCAUUUGGCAUGAAGCAAAGAACUCCUUAGCAGCAGUUAGUAUAUCUUCUUGCACCACCUCCCAGUUCUUAGUAAAGAACUCAAUAGGAAAGCCAUCUACUCCUGGAGCCUUGUCCUUGGGCAUUUCAUUAACAGCUGCAGUGAUCUCCUCCAUAGUAACUGAUCUAAUAAGUGAUCUCUGCUGAUCAAGUGUAAGACAUUUUCCUUCCUUCAUAAUGCUAGUAUCUACACAGGGAAGUUCAGGAGUACAUUCCCCCAUUAAUGAUUGAAACACCUUCAAGAAUUCCUGUUCCACAGCUAGAGGAUCUGUUAGUUUUAUACAUGUGUCAGUAUAAAUUGAAGUGAUGUUAUAUGUUCCACAGCUAGAGGGUCUGUUAGUUUUAUACCUGUGUCAGUAUAAAUUGAAGUGAUGUUAUUUUGCCCUGUCCUGAUCCUCUAUUGUGCAUGAAAAUACUUAGUAUUAGCAUCACCACAUUCAAUCCAGAGAGCUUUGGAUUUCUGCCUCAUUAUAUGUUCCUCCACACUGUUCCAUUUCUCAAUUUUUUCUCUUGCAUCUCUUUCCUCAUUUAUCAGUUCCUGUGAGAGAGGAUUGCUUUGCAUCUGCCCCUGGACAAUGCCAAGUCUUUCCCUUGCCUGAACAAUCUUCUGUUUAUAGGUUGCCAUGUGGAUAUUUAUACCUUUUAAUUGCUGCUUCAUUACCUUCAAUUUCUGACUUUGCAUCUGUCCCUGGACAAUGCCAAGUCUUUCCCUUGCCUGAACAUUCUUCUGCUUGUAGGUUGCCAUGUGGAUAUUUAUACCUUUUAGUUGCUGCUUCAUUACCUUUAAUUUCUGCCAAAUCUGCUGCAUUGGUGAGCCUAUAUAAUCCUGUUUCCAAACUUGCUUGACAAUGUUAUGAAAUUGAACAUGUUCCAUAACAGCACUGUAUAGCCUAAAAGAUUUAGUAUGCAGGGAUUUAUAAUCACAAAUUUUACCAGAAUAGGGGAAUGAUCAGAGACCAAUAGAUUCAUGUAAUCAGCUUUCAAAUGUCCAAACUGCUGCAGCCAUUGAUGCACCAAAUUUUACCAGAAUAGGGAAUGAUCAGAUACCAAAGGAUUCAUGUAAUCAGCUUCCAAAUGUCCAAACUGCUGCAGCCAUUGAUGGUUGCCCAGUGCCCAGUCAAUCGUACUAUAUACUCUAGCAUCUGCAUCCUGCUUAUUUGUCCAAGUAUAGUGCCAACCUGUAGCUCUUUGUGUAGUAAGUUGUAAAUCAGACAUUGUAUUUUUGAAAUCCUUCACCUCAGCCUCUGUAACUAGGGAACCAAUUCUGUCAUCAGAAUUUAGGAAACAGUUAAAGCCACCACUAAUUAGCCAAACAUCUUGAUUGGAACCAUGUAUAGCUCUGAGAUCCUACCACAGUUAACAGUUAAAGCCACCACUAAUUAGCCAAGCAUCUUGAUUGGAACCAUGUAUAGCUCUGAGAUCCUACCACAGUUGACCUCUGAGAGUUGCAGCAUUGUGACCAUAUAUAACACUAAACUGGAUUUUGAUUUGUGUUCUUGUAUCAUCAAUAAAACAGUGAAUAAGUUGAUCAGUAAUAGAAGAGAUAUGGACUUGAAUGUAAGGCUUCCACAGUAACCAAAUUCUUCCAUUAAUAGCUUUGGAAUAAUUGCAUUGCACCUUCCAAUCCUUGGCAACCUUGUCCAGUAUUCUCUUAGCUUUGUGCUCCUUUACUCUACGUAACCAAAUUCUUUCAUUAAUAGCUUUGGAAUAAUUGUAUUGCACCUUCCAAUCCUUGGCAACCUUGUCCAGUAUUCUCUUAGCUUUGUGCUCCUUUACUCUAGUUUCUACUACUCCCAUAACAUCCACCUUAUUUACAGCAAGGAAAUUUUUUAGUUCUUUCUGCUUAUGGGGCUGGUUGAGGCCCCUAAUAUUCCAUGUAGCUAUGAUCAUGGAAAAAGAGUGGUAACUCUGUGAGAGGGUCUUGGAUCAAUUUGUUGGACCCUACUACUCCCCACAGUCAUCGUAGCCUUGCCCUUAUUACAAUUGUCAGCCAUUUGUUCAGUAACUUCAUUAUUUGCAGUGACAAGCACCUCUUGACACUCAGACUCAUUCAGUGCAACCUGCUGAGAAUUGGCUAGGCUUUCAUCCACCUUACUAGAUUCCUGCACUAACUGAUUUCCCAGCUACUACUCCCAUGACAUCCACCUUAUUUACAGCAAGGAAAUGUUUUAGUUCCUUCUGCUUAUGGGGCUGGUUGAGGCCCCUAAUAUUCCAUGUAGCUAUGAUCAUUGAAAAAGAGGGGUACCUCUGUGAGAGCGUCCUGGAUCAAUUUGUUGGACCCUAUUACUCACCACAGUCAUUGUAGCCUUGCCCUUAUUACAAUUUUCAGCCAUUUGUUCAGUAACUGCAUUAUCUGCAGAGACAAGCACCUCUUGACACUUAGACUCAUUCAGUGCAUUCUGCUGAGGAUUAGCUAGGCUUUCCUCCACCUUACUAGAUUCCUGCACUAACUGAUUGCCCAGCAUUUUAUCUAUGAGUUACCUGCACCUCUGCUACAGUUUGUUUAACCUGCCAUUCUGUUUUACCUUGCUGUUUCCCCUUCCCCUUCUGUCUAGGUGGUUUAUCCUGCUUCUUCACUACCUUAUUUUCAUUGUUUUUAGUAGAAUACCAGCAGUCAAUGGAGUCGUGCCCAAACUUCAAACAAUGGUUGCAAAAGCUUUGAGUGUUGUACUGCAUAGAACUGCUAGAUAGCUUCAUUUUGUGUUUUUUCGUGAUUUCUUAUCUUCAGGUUUUUUAUACAUGCUUAUUACUCGCUGAGUUGGUAUACUCACUCCAUACUCCUUGCACCUUUUGUGCAGAUCCAGGUGCCGCAGGACAGAGUUGAUCAUUUUAGCGUCUUUUCAGAGUAUUAUCCGGAGCCUGUCAAUGGCAGAAUACCAGCAGUCAAUGGAGUCGUGCCAGACUUCAAACAAUGGUUGCAAAAGCAAGGCUUCUAGUCAUAAUCAACUGUCUGGAUUUUUGUACCAUAAGGAGUUUCAGUUUCCAAUUGGUCAGGCAAAGGAUAAGCAGCAUCCACUUCAACUAAAACUCUGGCAAAUGAGAUCUUCUCAUAAUGCGCAGUGAAUUUAUCAGUGUAUAACGGCUUGCCAAUUGCAAUGGCCAUUUUACUUAGAACUUCAGUAGACCAGUAGCCCACUGGAAGGCCAGGGAAUUUAAUCCAAAUAGGAAUAGUGCUAAGUACAUCACUCUGAAAAUCAAAAUCAACCUCCCAGGGCUUUAGAACCAUCGGCCUAUUCCUAUAGGAGUAAGGCCCUGAUUGCAAUACCAUAUCUCUAUCCUCAAUGCUAUUAAAUCGAAAAAUACAGUACCCUUCAACAUGCAUUAAUACCUGAGGUUUAGCAACAAAGUUCCAUACAUGCAUGACAAAGCUUUCCAUACUCCUCUCACUAGGAUUAUCAUCAAUUACAAAUCCAAUCAGUGCAUUUUGCCAGUAAUCUAACUAAGGCUUCAGAUCUUCCUCACUUAUCUUCACAACUUUUUUCCCGUCUCGAUCAGAAGGAGGCACAAAUGAGAGUAUCUUACCCAUUUGUGCAUCUCGAUUACCUCUAACCACUUCAUUGUUAGUUUUAUACUUGUGUCAGUAUAAAUUGAUACAUGCAUGACAAAGCUUUCCAUACUCCUCUCACUGGGAUUAUCACCAAUUACAAAUCCAAUCAGUGCAUUUUUCCAGUAAUCUAACGGAGGUUUUCAGAUCUUCCUCAUUUAUCUUCACAACUUUUUUCCCGUCUCGAUCAGAAGGAGGCACAAAUGAGAGUAUCUUACCCAUUUGUGCAUCUCGAUUACCUCUAACCACUUCAGCAACAGUCGGAGCUGCAGAUUCAACAAUAACCUCAGAGAAUUGGAGUCUCCUUGUGGUCGAGUUCAUCGGAACUUCAGAUUUGGCCAACGAAUUUGUAUUUACAUUAGCAUCCACCUCCGCAUGCAAAAUUUCUGGCGUUUGGAGUUUUGGUGGAAGAAAACUUCCAAAAGUCAGGGGCUCCAGUGAUGUAGCGACACCGUGAGCAGGGGUGACGAGCUUCUCAGGGACUAUCGGAGCAGGCUGGGCGGCAUUUCGCUGUCGGCGAGCCAUUUCCAGCACAAUCGCAGUCUUGCUAUUGUGCACGGAUAUAGGUACUGUUCUAUUGGAGGCUAAAGUGCGCCGAGAGCAUUUCACGUGCUGAACCGAAUAUCUAUCCCUUCCGUUCUCAACUUUAUUAAACUAAUCAUAAGUAACUCGCCAUUCGGGGAUUUGGGAAAUAGCUUGGUCUCCAUUUCCCAGACAAAAAGAAUGAGGUAUCCCCUUUUGAGUACAGAGAAUCCUUUUUUUGGUUUGACGUUGAAAUUUCUUGGAUGAUGCCUUACCUUACCCACUGACACUAAUGUAUCUUUCACUGGCAUCUUUCACGAUAUUGUCUAUGCUGGAUUUUGUUUAAUAAUAAAAGAUGGGUGAAUGAAAAAUGGUGAGAAAAGAAAUAGAGGGAAGUCAAAUUUUAAAUGAGUUCACUAUUGCAUUUUAUCCCUCAUUGGUAGAAAGAAAGAAAAUUUUGGUGUAUAUAUAGAGAAGCUCAUCUUUUAGCUCUUAAAGAGCUAAGAGAAAGGCCAGCCUCGCGCCAUCUUCGUCGCUUGCUCGACUUCGACUUCGGUUUUUCAAUGGAAGAAAAGGGUAUUUUUCUAGCUUACCACUCUUGGUAUUCAGAAAUUUACCAGCGAAGAGCCUCUAGUUCCUGCUGCGGACAUGCCGGAUAAUGAAAAGUUCAUGGUUGUUGAGGCGUGGAAGCAGACAGAUUUUAUUUGCAAAGGCUACAUCUUAAUUGCUUUAGAGGAUGACUUGUACAAUGGUUAUAGUGCAAUGAAUACUUCGAAAGAAUUAUGGGACGCACUUGAGAAGAAGUGCAAGACAGAAGAUGCAUGCUUGAAGAAGUUUGGGGUUGCCAAGUUUCUAAACUAUAAAAUGAUAGACAACAAAACUGUGGGAACCCAAGUUCAGGAGCUUCAACUUAUUUUUCACGACCUUGUUGCUGAAGGUAUGGUCGUGAAUGAAGCAUUUCAAGUAGCUGCUCCUUCGAGGAGGGAUUUAAGAACUAUCUGAAGCACAAACGCAAAGAAAUAAAGAUGGAAGAUCUUGUGAUACGUCUAAAGAUCGAGGAAGAUAACAAAACAGCCGAGAAGAAGUCUCGUGGAAAUUCAAAGAUUAUGGGAGCUAAUAUUGUUGAGGAGACUGCUCCAAAAAGUAAGAAGAGCAACAGGCCUUCUGGACAAACUAAGGAGUAGAACAAAAAGAAAUUCAAGGGAAACUGCUACAAUUGUGGAAAAGUUUGUCACAAAAGCCCUGAUUGUCGUCUCCCGAAAAAGGAUAAUAAGGAGGGACAAGCCAACAUAGUGGAGAAGAAUGAUGAUAUUGAUGAUCUCUAUGCAAUGCCUUCGGAAUGCAACCUUGAUGGAAAUCCUAAGGAGUGGUGGAUUGAGUCUGGAGCCACUCGACAUAUUUGUGCAGUCAAAGAAGCAUUUGCGAGUUACUUUACUGCUGGUCCCGAAGAAGAAAUUUCCAUGAAAAAUAAUGCAACAACCAUAGAUGGUUAAGGAUUGAUUGUGUGACUUAUGUUGUUUAGGUAUACAACAAAGAUCGACGGUUCAAAGAUAUCAAAUCUAUCUAUUGACCGAGUAUAUCCAAUAUAAGUUCACUAUUGAAAGUUCAAAGGGAAACCUAACUUAUCCAGAGAAAAUCAAUUCUUGCUUGUAAAACACACACACGUCCGCACAUUCCUUUAUGUUUAUAGCCAUUCCAUAUUAAUGUGGGGGAUUGUUGGAUUUUGUUUAAUAACAAAAUAAGGGUUAAUGAAAAAUGGUGGGAAAAGAAAUGGAGGGAAGUGAAAUUUGGAAUGAGUUCAUAAAUGCACUUUGUCUCUCAUUGGAAGAAAAGAGAAUGUCAUGGUGUGUGUAUAUAUAAGCUCAUCUUUUAGCUCUUACACAACUAAGAAGAAGGCAAGCCUCGCGUCGUCAUCGUCGCCGUCUCUCGCACAGCUUGGUUUCGGCUUCGGCUUCAGAUUUGGAUUUGUCAAAGAAUGACUGAUUAACGUUUUGGACCAAAUUCUUUUCAAAUAUUUAAUUAUUUAAUUAAAUUAAUUAAAUAAAAUUCAAUCCAAAAUAAAUAAUGACCCGCGAUCUGGUUCGGUCUGGACCGUUUUUCGUUUUCGGAUUAUUUUAAAUCCGUUUUAAACUUCCCGCAAAAAUUUCCAACAACCAUGGUUGUUCUGAAACAGUGUAACACUUGUUCUAACAACCAUGGUAGUUCUAAAAGGUUGCAAACCUUUUCAGAAACAGGACCGAAAUUGGGUAUAACUAUACCUUCAAAUCCCAGAAUAUUUACUUACUAAAUUUUUUGAAUCUUCUUCUUCUUAUGCACAAAAUGUUUCAGUGUGUUUUACGAUCAUCGAGUGGUUCGUCGAUCACUAGAAUUUUAGGUACCGAUACACUGAUGAGUUAAACUAUUCUAUCCUGGAAGGAUAUAUUCCAAAACCUCGGAUACUUGAGGGGAAUAAUUUUCUUAAGGACAUACUGUGUAUUUAGUGGGCUCGAUUUGUUCCUACAACAUUUUUCCAAAAUUUAUUUUAAGUAACUUUAUAAUUUUCGAAAUUUAAUUUCUACUAACUUUCUGUUUCUGUUUUGAGAAAAAUUAUUAUUUAAAAUAUUUAUAUGAAUACAGUUUGAUAACAGUCUAUGCUUUAGAGGUAAUAGAUGGUGAGCAUUCUUAUUGGUCUGACUUUGCUGCUUAAGGUACCGUGUCAGUGGAAACUAUUUAUUAGUUGUAUGAUUGUUCCUCUAUGAAUAUUCUUUUAGUUGUCGGAAUGAUCCUUCAGUUGUUAAUGGCAUUCUUUCAUCUAUUAAUUUUUUUUUUGUUGCAUUAGGUUUCCUAAACUUCAGUAAAAUCUUUUUCGCAGAAGUUUAACGCCUUAGUAAAGUGCUUGUAAAUCCACAGGUAUGAUAUAAUUGUAAGUCUGUCAAACCUAAAAUGGACAUGUGAUCUUUUAAAAGCUUCUGAGAAGCUAAACAGUGGAAUACUUGAAUAUUGAAAAGUAUCUGCACUUUUUUUUGGCAUAGGGUAAAGUAUAGACUCUAUUCUUCAAAAAAUUUUAUUUUGUAUCUCACACAACUGAACUGACAUUAAUUGUGUGAGACCUUUUUUUUCCUUACAACUGUGUGGGUCCCAGAAUUUUGUGGACCCAGAUGCGUAAGAUAUGGGUCUACAAAUAUGUGAGAUAAAAAAAUAGCUCACACAACUAAUGUAAGUUGUGUGAGACACAAAUCAAAAUCACUCCUAUUCUUCUCAUACAUAAAGUAUAAGAGACACAAAAUAAGGAGUAUGUCAAUCAGGUGUUACAUCAGAGAGAGAAGUAUAAUCAGUUCUUUCCCCGAAGACACCAUCUAAGUGUUGCUUAUUAACAAGAUGAUAGACCCAAAGAACGGCAAGAUAGGCGACCAUCACUCCAUGCUAAAUUUUAGUAAGCAGUACGUUGUUUAGGCUCAGCUAUGCUUUUGUUUCUCACUUGGAUGAGGGCUAAUAAAUUAUAUAUCAGCAGGAGCACUUACAAAAACGCUGAUGAUGUCAAGCUAUACUAUCCUGAUAAAUGCAAAUGAUAAAUCUAAUGACAUACAAAUGAUUAAUCAUCAGUUGAAGAAACAAUUCACCUGACGGAUGUUAAAGAUAUUACAGAAAUUAUCUUUAGUAUUUGUGUUUAUUGUGUUAGUCACUAAUCUAUUUGAAUAAGUCAACUUAGUAAUUCCUAGUUUUAAGGAUAGUUUCUAGUUUGUUGGUACAGAUCAAUUAUUUUAGGAGAUAUGGAUUUUAUGCUUUGUUUGUUGCAGAUUUUUUGGGAUUCAAUUGUAUUCUCUGUUGUAUAAAUACAGCUGGUUGGAUUAAUAAAAUAUACACAAGUUCCCUAAUUUUCUCUUCCUGUUCAUAACUUGUUUGAUUGAAAGUCUUGAAUAAUGUUCUCUUGUUAAUGCUCUGUCUCUCUUGAUCUUGCAGUCAAGCAGGAAAUUGUUAUUAUUUUUUCUUCAAACCAGAUUACUAAAAUUAACAUCUGGUAUAGAGCAAGGAUAAACAGGAGAGGGCGAACAAUGCUACCGGAGUGAACCCAAUACUUCCUUCUAUUCCAUUCUUCAAAGGAAGUGUCUAUGAAGUUUGGAGCAUAAAAAUGAAGGCUCUCUUCAUCUCUCAGAACCAGUGGGAAUUAGUCGAAGCUACAAUGAAACAGGGGUUUCGGCUGAGCUCUCAAGGAAUUCAAGAAAAAAGAUGCUAAAGCUCUUUUUUUUCAUUCAACAAGCCAUAGAUGACAGCAUCUUUCCACGAAUUGCAGCUGCAACAAAGUCGCGAGAUGCCUGCAAUGCACUACCACUCGGCUAUCGAGGGACUGCCAAGGUUCAAUCUGUAAAAUUGCAAACACUUAGAAGAAAGUUUGAGGAAUUUUUUAUGAAGGACAAUGAAACUAUGGAAGCCUAUUUUCGCAAUGUCCUGGAGGUUGUCAACUAGAUCAGCAAGUAUGGUGAUCAAUUGACAAAACAAAAGGUUGUUGAAAAAAUAUUGCGGAGCCUUCCUAAGAAAUAUGAUCACGUGGUGGCUGCCAUAGAAGAAUCGAAAGACUUGAGUGAACUGACAACUGAUGAAUUACUUGGCUCUUUGCAAUCUCAUGAAGACAGGUUGAAUAAACGAGUAGAAAGUGGUGCUGAUAAUGCAUUUUUCUAAUUCAAUUUCUAGUGAGUCACAUGACAAGUAAGGGCGUAGAGGCUAUGUUGGUCGUGGAAGAAGAGGCGGUCGAGGCGGUGAACGUGGAAACUAUCAUCAAAAUAAAAAUGCAGGGAGUAGGCAUGAUCGGAGACACAAAUUCUACAACUGUAAGAAGUCGAGUCACAUUGAAAAGUUUUGUCGACUCAAAACUGAACACAUUUCGAAGUUUGCAGAGGAGAAAGAAAAAGAAAAUGAGACUGAAAGUUUGUUCAUGGCUUGUUUUACUUGUACAUGCUCUUCGCAGGUUUGGUAUAUGGACAGCGGUUGCAGCAAUCAUAUGACAGCAAACUUAAAUGCUUUCAUCAACCUGGACAAGUCAAUCAAGAAGGAGGUGAAGAUGGGAGAUGGUACGAUUCGUCAAGCUUGUGGAAAAGGGUCUGUCAAGGUAAAUUUUUGUAGUUUCAACUACAUUAAUGAUGUUCUAUAUGUACCUGAUUUGGAUUCAUGUUUGUUGAGCGUGGGGCAAUUCCUAAGAGAUGGUUAUGCACUUCUAGUUGAGGUUAUGGCAUGUGCUGUUUUUUCUAAUAAGAACACAUAUUGUUCAAAGUACCUAUGGCAGAGAAAAACAUAUUUCCUCUCUCCUUGGAGUGUAAUGACCAAGCACUUGCAGUCACCAUAGAUGACAAUAGCUAGCUAUGGCACCAUGGUAUGGGCAUUUAAACUUUAACAGCUUGAAAUCUCUAUAUAAUCAAGCUUUGGUGGAUGGGUUGCCCUCGAUUCAGCAUAUAAAGGACAUAUGUGCAAACUGUAUGUUUGGAAAUCAACAUCAAGAUAGAUUCCCAAGAGAUCUGCGAUGAGAGCAUCAAGACUCAUUAAGCUGGUUCAUGCCGAUUUGUGUGGUUCGAUGAGAAUUCCCUCUAUGAAUAACAACUUGUAUUUCCUUUUUUUUGUUGAUGACUGUAGCAGGAUGUCAUGGGUUUAUUAUCUCAAAGAAAAAUCUACAGCUUUCUUAAUUUUUAAGAAAUUUAAGAGUUACGUUGAGAAGAAAAGUGGAAAUACCUUGAAGAUCUUGAGAACUGACCGGGAAGGUGAAUUUCUUUAAACUGAAUUCAACAAUUUUUGCGAUGAGUGUUGAAUUAAGUGGAAAAUGACAGCUAGAUACACAUCCCAAUAAGAUGGAGUAGUAGAACGGAAGAAUUGAAGUCUUGUUGAAAUUGCAAAGUGCAUGAUGAACUCUAAGAGUCUUCCGAAAUGUUUCUGGUCUAAUGAAAUACACACUGCAGCUUAUCUUCUUAAUCGAAGUCCUACAUCAGCUUUGAAUAAUCAGACACCAUUUGAAGCUUGGCAUGGGUGGAAACCAAAGGUAACUCACUUUAAGGUCUUUGGUUGUAUUUCUUAUAUCCAUGCUCCUUCUCAACAAAGAAAUAAGCUUGAUGAAAAUAGUGUCAAGUGCAUAUUUUUGGGCUACAGGGAUGAAACUAAAGGCUAUUGCUUUUAUGAACCUUUCACUAAAUUCCAUGUUCCUUCUCAACAAAUAGAUUAGCUUGAUGAAAAUAGUGUCAAGAGCAUAUUUGUGGGCUAUAGUGAUGAAACUAAAGGCUAUCACAUUUAUGAACCUAUCACUAAAAAGCUGAUUGUUGGUCGUGAUAUUGCGUUUGAUAAAAAAAUAAAUGGAAUUGGGUUGAGAAAUAGGGCCGUCCAGAAUUAUUAGAAGUAGGUGAUGAGGAUUUUAGCACUCCUACACAAGGCGAAAGUGAUGACUCAGAUCCUUCAAAUCCAUCAAGCCCAUCCAGCUCAUCAACUACAUCUGUUAGUUCAACUUCAUAUCACUCACCUCCAAAUAAGUGGGGAUCAUUGCAGGAACUUUACCAGAGAACAGAACAAUGUCAAGUUGCACAAAUUCAUGAGCACGGCUGCUUCAAAGAUGCCACAAAUUGAAAGGAAUAGUGUGAUGCCAUGAAUGAAGAAAUGAAGGCCCUAGAAUGAAACAAGACGUGAGAGCUUGUUGAGUUGCCGGAAGGAAAAGAAGUAGUUGGUCUAAAAUGGAUUUACAAGCUGAAGUACAAACUUGAUGGCCCAAUCCAUAAAUACAAAGCUCGACUAGUUGCUCGUGGUUACAUGCAGCGAGAAGGUAUGAACUUUGAAGAGAUGUUCACACCAGUGGCCAAAUUUGACACCAUAAGGACUGUUUUGGCAAUAGCUGCACAUUAUAAGUGGAAUGUCUACCAAUUUGAUGUCAAACCAGCCUUUCUAAAUGGGUACCUGGCUGAAAAUGUCUACGUGGAAUAACCACUAGGAUAUGAAGUGAAAGGAAAAGAGACAAAGGUGUGUAAGCUAAGGAAAGUUUUGUAUGGACUCAAGCUAGCUCCAAGGGCUUGGUACAAGAGGAUUGAUGAGCAUUUCAGCAAGAAUGGUUUCCAGAAAAGGGCCAGCGAGCAGACAUUGUAUGUGAAAGCAACAGGAGCAGAUGAGGUACUUAUUGUUUGUCUUUAUGUAGAUGAUAUAAUUUACACAAGCAAUAGUUCUUCAUUAAUCCCUGAUUUUAGAAGACUCAUGAUUAGAGAGUUUGAAAUGACUCACUUGGGUCAGAUGAGCUAUUUCUUAGGAUUGGAAAUACAUCAAAGUGGUGCAUGAAUUUUCAUCGGUCAACAGAAGUAUGUUAAGGACAUUCUUUGUAAGUUCAAGUUGCUAGAUUGCAACCCUGUGAAGACUAUGAUGGCAACUAAUCAGAAAUUUAUGGCUGUAGAUGGAUAAGAAUAGAUUGAUGCUCAUGUUUAUCGAAGCUUGGUUGGAAGCCUACUUUAUCUUACAAAUACUCAACCGGAUAUCUUGCAAGCUACUAGUCUUUUAUCAAAGUUUAUGCAAAAACGAAGCAAGAAGCAUUACGGGGCAGCAAAGCGAGUCCUGAGAUACUUGAAGGGAACAAUUUCAUAUGGUCUGUUUUAUUGAACUGAUAAUCUUAAUUUAUGUGGCUAUUCUGAUAGUGAUUGGGUAGGUUCUGUUUGGGGUCAAGUGUCAUAUCUUGGAGCUCAAAGAAGUAAGCAUCUACUGCUUUGUCUUCCUCUGAAGCUGAAUACAUGGAUGAAACUUCACCUGCUUUUCAAGCAGUAUGGUUGCAAAGAAUUUUUGAAGAUAUUAAGCAAAAUCAGAAGGCAACUGUGAUCAACUGUGAUAAUCAGUCACGAUAGCCAUGACCAAGAUUCAUGUUUAUCAUAGCCGUACAAGACAUAUUGAGACUCGGCUUCAUUACAUCAGAGAGCUAGUUUCAAAAGGAAUCAUCCAGAUUAUGUAUUGUAGUACAAAUGAUCAACAAUAAGAUAUAUCUACAAAACCACUUCCUGCAGUAAAAUUUUAAUAUUUUAAGGAAAUGAUUGGUGUUGUAAAUUUCUGCAUUAAGGGAAGUGUUAAAGAUAAUGCAGAAAUUAUCUUUAGUAUUUGUGUUUAUUCCGUUAGUCACUAGUCUAUUUAAAUAAGUCAACUUAGUAGUUCCUAGUUUUAAGGAUAGUUGCUUGUUUGUUGGUACAUGCCAAUUAUUUUAAGAGAUAUGGAUUUUAUGCUUUGUUUGUUGCAGACUUUUUGGGAUUUAGUUGUAUUCUCUACUGUAUAAAUACAGCUAGUUGGAUUGAUUGAAAGUUGCUAGUUUGUUGGUACAGGCCAAUUCUUUCUUCCUGUUCAUAACUUGUUUGAUUGAAAGUCCUAAAGAUUGUUCUCUGGUUAAUGCUCUGCCUCUCUUGAUCUUGCAGUCAAGUAAAGAAGUGUUAUUGUUUUUUCUUCGAACCAGAUUACUAAAAUUAACAACUGACAUAAGUUAUUCACAGUUAUGUGUUACUAAACUGAAAGGAAGUACGUGAUCUUCUUUAGGACAUAGAGAUACUUCAAAAAGAGAAAGCACAAGCACAAAGAAAGCACAUUGUCAUCCAUUACCUACAGAAAGAAAGUUCAUGAGUUUGGGGGAGGGUGGAUGGGACGAUUUUUUUGAACUCUUUGUGCUUCUACUUUUUCUCUUGCAAUUUUUCAAACAAGCAAUAAUUUCUUUUUAUGUUUCCGUCUCAUGAGAAAAAUAUGAACUGUUGUUAUCUUUCAUGAGAAAAAGUUGAACUGUUCUCAUCUUUCAAGGUUUCCAUUAAAUGUAUUGCAGAUUUCAAAUAGAAGAUGAAGAUGGUCCUUCUUUAACUUUAGAAUAUGUAUUUAGUUUCUAAACUUUGAAGUUUGUAAUUAUAACCUAAGGACCUUUACUUUGUUUUUGUUGCUAUAUUUAACCAAUGACAGUUAUAUGGUAACAAAAUAUGACAUAUUGUUCACAACCUUUCACAAAAGGAUUUACCUAAAUGAUAAAUGUAUGGGUCCAAAUUUAGACAACCACGACUGUUGAUAAUACGACAAACGACAAGAUUCUCGUUGCACGACAUCCUGUGGAGGAAGAUAGAAUAGCGAACAGAGACUGCGUGACUUUUAUAGUAGUGUACGUCCAAUAGGGACAUUAGGAAUAUUCCUUCGAAUAUUUCCCAUAAUAUGCCAUUUAGGGUUUAGAAGGGGUUUGUCCCUUAUAUAUAGCGGAAAACAACUUUGUAAGGGGGGGGGGGGGGGUUUUGGGCUUUUCUAGCUAAGAACACUGGCUGUAAUAUUUUUUUACGUAAACGAUUGGCAUCUUUAACGUUCAAUCAUUCAUCUUCACAAGAUCAAGGAAUAUUAUCCAUUGUAUUCAUCUUAUAUACCUUUAUUGCUGAGAUUUUAGUUUCGCCUAGAUCCUUGAAAUAGAUAAUCGCCUCUUUUUAGCCUCGCAAAGGCCAGCAAUGGCAGGAAAGGGAGAAGCAAGAUUAAAGGCAAUAGUAGGAGUCACGAAAAACCUUCUGGAUUCCAUCGCUGAAGCCGGCAGGGAAGACAAUGAAAACACAACGUAAAGUGCUACACCUGAGGGAGAUAUCUCCAUCCCCCCCUCCUCGCUGCAUGAAAGCAUGACUGUCUCCGCAUGAAAGGGAAGCCUCAACAUACGCAACAGGAAAAGCACCACCAGUUGUGAAAAGGCUAUUAGAGGAGUGGUUGACAAACAUCUUGAGAAACAUACUCGACAAACCCGCUCAAAGGGAUAUCGGAGGCACAAUACACAUAGAAACUACAACUGUCACCGAUGAGCCAGAAACUCCACGCAUAGGUAACACUCAUAUUAUCAUCGAUGCAGGUGACGAUGCACUUGCGUUCUUCUUAAAAAAAGAAAUAUAAAACGAGAACAAAAUGCUCCGUGAUUAGAUGUGGAAGCAUCAGGAAAGGGUCGAUAAAAUACUAGGCGUUCCAAAGUUACUAACAAAACGUGACGUAGGCCAAUUCGUCGAGCAACCGUAAAGUGAAGAGGCAACCCCCACUCUAUUCCAAAAACCUUCAAAAUAACU